AAGGGCAGAGUUGGCCUGAUGCAGAGGAAGCAGAUGCAAAGGCUGGCGGCAGGGGAGGCAUGCAUCCGGGCGGUGGAGGCCGUUCUCAGCGGCGGACUUGACGGAUCAUCGCAGGAGAAGGCCCUUGGCAGCCAUAGCAGAGCUUCCGCUGCUCCUGCACCUGACGAGAAAGAGAGAGAGACUGGGGCAUGAGAGAGAGAGGUUAGGGAAGGGGUACAUGAUGGAGAGUACAAGGAAGCAGGGGACGCAAAGCAGCGGCGACCUGGAACUCCGGCGGCUGGCCAUGGGUGAUGUUGGCGACAGGAGGUUCGGAAUCGAGCCUCUGUUCGAGCACAAGGUGGAGCAGGGCCAGGAGGAGGAGGCGUCAAGAUGCCCUGGUUGCUGCAGGCAUGCGGACGACAAGGAGGUCGGGACGGCGUGGAUCCGGGCAGCAAGGCGGCUGCAAGGGGAUUUGGGCACUGGAUGGCUGCAGCGACCUGGUUGGGUGGAGAUGGAUCUGGAUGGAUCCCGAGGUGGAAGAAGACUGGCGGCGGCGGCAGGGAGGAUGGGACAAGGCUCCUAAUUUAUAGGGUUGGAUCUCAGGUUAGACUAAUAUAUAUAGCAGAUGGAUUUAGGUUAGGGGAUAUCUAGCCCCUCUGAUCGCAAUCGGACGAUCGAGAAAUAAAUAGGUAGGGGGUCCAAAUAAGAAAACGGAGAUGUUUUAUAGAUGUUUGGGGAUGAUCUAAAUCCAACAGUGACAACUGUGCGGGUCGGGUUCGGGAUAGCUGUUGGACGCACGAGAGGGGUCUAUGCACUGCGCAAAGAGGGGUUAGGCGGUCUGACAAGAGGGACUUGAAAAAUCCGGUUGGUCUCGAACGAUCAAAGAAGGCAAGGGGAACAUGGCAACUACGAACGGGUGCGAGUUUUAUGAAAACAUGCGGAUGCAAUGCACAUGAUGCCAUGAGAUGAGAUGCAUGACAUGAACAAAAUGCACAACAACAGACAAAAACCCAACCACGAAGCAAAUAUCAUAACACAUAGCCAAAAAUGUUAAGAGUUGGAGUUACAAAUAUGGAAAGUUGCAUCCAGGGUGUUACAACACUCCACCACUACAAGAGGAUCUCGUCCCGAGAUCUAGGAUGGCACCGGAGAGAAACAGAAGAGGAAGAGAAGAGGUAAAACUAAGUUGCCUCUUUGACAAAUGAGUGAAACCAAAGAACCUUGAUAGGUUGAAGAGUUGAAACAAAGAACAUAACAUAGUUGAACACAAUUGAGAUCGCUGCAGUAGAAAAUAGAAACAAGGAACACCAUGUGAACCUUGGAGGUUGCAAAGCUAUGAAUGACGAGUACAAUGGACAAGAAGGAAUUGGAACUAGUCUGGUUGAAACGAGAUAAACAAGGAACAAGGAAGAACAAAUUCGGACAUCACUCCGGUUGAAAAGAGAUGCAAGACUUGAUAAGAUGAAAAGAACUUGAAAAUAGGACACAACACUCCGGUUAAAUGGAUAAGAAUUAAAAGAACACGAUCCUCAAUUCGCGAUGAUGAGUGAAGAGAGCAACAUCACAAUGCCUCCGGAAGAAAGAACAGAAGAUAGAUCACUGGAAUAACAGAAUUGAGAAGAAAAUGCCAACUUCUAUCACAAAUGAACUUGGAAAGAACCCUUCCAAGAAGGUUAUGAUGGAGUUGUUGAAAAAUCAACAACGAAUCGAAUAAGCUUGUAGUGGGCUUAUGGAAAACUUCUCAAAAUUGAGGCGAAAUUCUGCCACUACGGUAACAAAUAAUAUAAUUGAUAACGCCGACGAGAUGAAAAAUUUCUUGCGCCAAGAUGAUAGAGAGAUAACUUGGACCAUUGAUAAACACCACAAUAGCAACAUUCCUUAGGGAAGGCUUUAGGUGAAAUAUGACACAAGAUAACUCCAAUGAAGAGAUUAAUGGAUUUAAAAUACCUCAUUCUUGACAACAAGUGAAUCGCGAAACAUGAAUGGAAAUUGUCAAGAAUGAUAUAACACCACGUAAAAAGUUAAGGUAGAAAGAAUUGCACUUCGGAAUGCAAGAUGAAGAAUGCUUGAACGCCUCAAAACAAAACAUGUGUUGAGCACCAUGAAUUUUGAGUAUAGCUUGGCGGAUCAUUGGUUCGAGAGUCUUGAAGAACUAUUGAAGAAUGAAAAGAAUCCUUGACGAACCACCAUGUAGAGCCUCCAUGAAGAACUCCGGUAAUAAAAAGGUGAUAAAAAGAAAGAGAAGUUGAAAACACAAGGUGAACCCUUGCGAUGAUUUAGAUGGAGCUACGAAAUGAGUACACUUUGAACUCCGGACAAGAAAGAUGAAUAACCUGGAACCGAGAAUUACUUCCUGAUGUACAAACUCCAGAAGAAGGAAUUAAUCACUUGGAAGAAACAAGAAUAAGAAUUAUGUCAUGCCUAUCCUUCAUCAAUUUAAAUUGAUGACAAGCAAAUGUUUUGGCAUACUACUUAUUCUCAUUGAAAAAUGAUUACAGAUAGAGAUAUAGUGUCAGGACCCCGACUCAAUGCCACAUAGGUCUAGCAUGUAACACCUCAUAUCACUUUGCGGCCUCACGCACGGUAUUCCCACGGGUGUCGCCUUACCUUUGCCCGGGACCGUUUGCGUCUUUUGGCACACGUAUAUGAUAGUGUCGUUAGCACCCAUAUGAUAAGGAGCCCGGGCUGACAUGGCUAGUCGUAAACCCAAAGUGGCACAGACUUACAGGGACAGGCAUCCAUGACCCAGCAUCGAACGUGUCGGUCAUCAGCGAGUGAAUCCAGGCUGUAGCACUGGGCUAGCAGGACUCCGGUGAACCGGGCUGUAGCGGGCUAACAGGACUCCGGUAUUCAUCGCGUGACAUUUCCCCGAAGGGACAGACACAGGAACGAAGAAGGACACAUGCCGGCCAGCCUAAGUGUUCCGGAGCAGUAGCAAGCUACCAUGGCUCAGUGGAAACACUAGGAGACAUUUCCCGGUAAGAGAGGCUACUAAAGAUAAACAACUAGACGGUCAGAUCCCACACAUACCAAGCAUUUCAAUAACAUACACACAAUAUGCUCGAUAUGUGCAAUACAACAUGGCAUCACAAAAUGACUCUACGACUCAAGUAGUUUAUUCAAUAGGCUCCGAGGAGCGAGAUAUUACAAACAUGGGUCUCAUGACCCAACAUUCAGAGCAUACAAAUCAAGCACAAGCGGAAGCUAUCAUGUCUGAGUACAGACAUCUAUAAAUGAAAAAGGCUGAGAAGCCUGACUAUCUACCAAAUCCUGCCGAGGCACAAGAUCGUAGCUGAGGUAACAAGCUAAACGUCGAAGACCACGCGGUAAUACUAGUGAGACUGAAGUCUCUCUGCAAAAACAUAAAAUAGGCAAACGUGAGUACAAAUGUACCUAGCAAGACUUACAUCAGAACUAUCUACAUAUGCAUCCUUAUCAACAAAGGGGUGGUGGGGUUUAACUGCAGCAAGCCAGCUUUGACUCGGUGGCUAUCCUAAACUACGACUGCAAGUAACUCUUUUGAGGUGGCGCACACGAGUCCACAUAUUCACCAUAUCAAUACACCACUAUGGAUCCGCUCCCGUCUCCCUACGAGAAAGCCAUCCAUAGCACUCACGCUUAUCUUGUGUAUUUUAGAGUAUCCACUUUCACUUGUCUAUGAACUGAUAUAAGCAACCCAGAAGUCCUUUUCCGCGGACACGGCUAUUCGAAUAGAUGAUGUUAACCCUGCAGGGGUGUACUUCUUCAUACAUGUUUCCACCACUUAGCGUCUGCACACGACAUGUGCGCGGCAGACUUCAAGCGAAAGCCGACGUGGGUGUAGACCACGACCUACCUAAACACUCAAGUCUCUAGUCCAGGUUUAUCGCCUAUUCGGGUUCCAUCCAUGAGGAGAUCCGGCCGGAGUUUCGCUCACAGCCCCAAACGAUGUGAACAGGGUUCCGUGACACCAAACGGGCGCCCGGUUUACCCGGCCACGUGCCUACCGCAUCACAGCCCACCCCUACGGUCAGCGCUGUCCACGGCCUCCAGCAUACUACAAACACCAGAAACUACUUGCAACUCCUAGACAGAGGACUAGGGUGAAUAAGAAGUCGAGCGGGGUCAUAUUUCAGGGCCCAAUGUAUGGUAGUAGCUGAAUCAUGGAUCACAAACACAGAACUCAGUUCCUGAGGACGGCUUCAAUGAGACAACCCACCAUGUACUCCUACAUGGCCUCUCACCGCUACCUUUACCAAAUCGUGUUCACACACUUAGCUCACACACAGUAGGACAUGUUCACACACCUCUGAUUCAUCCCCGAUGAAUCAGACCUGACUCAACUCUAAGCAGUAGCAGGCAUGACAAACAAACAUGAAUGAGUAGGCACAACAGGGCUCAAACAACUCCUACUCAUGCUAGUGGGUUUCAUCUAUUUACUGUGGAAUGACAGGUCAUGCAAAGGAUAAAGGGGUUCAGCUACCGCAGCAAGUAACAGAUGAAUCGAUGUUGUCCUAAUGCAGUAAAAGAGAGCAGGAGCGAGAGAGUAGGAUUGUAUCGGAAUGAACAAGGGGGUUUUGCUUGCCUGGCACUUCUGAAGAUAACAUUGAGUCUUCAUCAGUGUCAACGAUCACAUCAUCGGUAUCACGUUUAUCGAGAGGGGACAAAUACCGGCAACACAGAAAGAAACACAAUCAAUGCAAUGCACAAUAUGAUGCAUGAUCAUGACAUGGCAAAAUGAAUGUGUUUUUGGGCUAAUGCAACUAGCAACAGAUUAAAUGAAGUUGGUUUGAGUAUAAAAUUCAAAUUCAAACUCCAUAUGUGAUUAAUUAAAUGCCCUUUAUAUGAUUUGUGCUAAACAGCAGCUAUAAGUUGAUCUAACAUGCAUGAAAAUGGUACAGAUGGAUUCCUUGAAUUUUUCUGAUAAUUUUUCAUAUAUAAUUUAUUUAAUUUGGAGUUACGGUUAAUUUUCUAUGAUUUAUUGAAGUUUUAGGCAUUUUCUGGAAUUUCCUGAAUUAAAUUAAAUCCAGAAAAUCAUUUAAUGCGUCAGCAUGACAUCACCUUGACGUCAUCAGGUCAACAGAGCAGGUUCAGGUCAAACCAGACCAGUGGGGUCCACUGGUCAGUGACACAGUGCCGACUAGUGUCGUUGACAGGUGGGGCCAGGUCAACGGCCACGUCAGCAGAGUCAAUGCUGACGGGUGGGGCCACUGGAUUAGUUAAAAACUAAACAGAAACUAAUCUAUGAUUAAUUAGCAGGUGGGGCCCUGCUGUCAGUGUCACAAAGCGGUGGUUAGUGGUUAAUUAAGCCAGCCACGUCACCGGCCACCGGAGUUCGACCGGCGGCGACCCGGAACGCGGCGGAAGUUCACCGGGGUUGCGCUACGGGCGACGGCUGGACGCACGAAGGGCACCAGAAGGUAGCCUGUGCCUGUGCGCAACUAGGGGGGCCAACGAGAGGGCGUGGGGUGGCCGGGGUUCGCCGGAAUGAAGCCCGAGGCGGCGGCCGGAGCUCGGGGGUUCGCGGAACUGGCGCUGCAGCUCACAAACGAGGGAGCUGAGGUGCUGGAGGGGCUCUACGGGUCACGGCUAGCGCAACGGUGCACGCCCGUGACCAAAUGGUCACCGGGAUUUCGCCGGCGACAAGUCCGUGCGGCGGAGCGUCUCGGCUCCGGCGGAAGCAAUGGCUAGAGCGGCCCAACGGCAGGGGAACAAGAGGGGAACGGUUCAGUGGCUCACCGCGAGUCCAACGAGCGCGAGGGCGAGGCCGGGGACGCUCUGUGGCCGGCGAAUCAAGCGACGACGGCCGUCGGUGCAGAGGAAGAGGAUGGCGUCGGUGACGGCGCUCCAGGGCGUCCGGCGUCUUGUGGCUCCAUGGUAGGGACGGGAACGUCGCGGCGGAGCUCGGGGGCGCGUCGGAGAGGCGAGGGGAAGGCGGUGGCCGCGGUGGCUCUCGUCGGUGGCGACGGCUCCGUUCGGGGAGGGAAACAGAGGAGGGGGAGAGUGUUUGGGGACGAGGGAGGAAGCAGCGAGGGAGGAAGAGGGGCGAGGGGACACGAGGCGUGAGGGGGGGAGGCUCGGGAACGACUCGGUGGAAGCAGGAGGUGGCCGAGGCGGCAUCGGCGCUCGCCACCGAGCUGCUUCGGUGCGAGGGGAGGAAGAUGACAAGGGGGAGGAGGUGGCUGGGCCGGCCGGGGGAGAUGGGCCAGGUAAGUGGCCCAGGUGGGCUGCAGGUAAUGUUUCUCUCCCUCUCUCUGUUUUCCUAUUUUACUUCUGUUUUCUAUUUUCUGUAGUUUGAUUUGAUUUAGUUUAGCAACUAAAUCAUUUAAAUAAAUUCUGUAGAUUUUUAUGUGGCUUGCUAAGAUAUAUACAAAGCCACUCACAAACUUCCAGAAUUAUUGGAGUCAUAUUUAAUAUAUAUUAAAUAUAAUUCCAAAGCAAAUAGUUAUUGGAUUAAAUCAAAUGACCAAAAUAAUUAUCUCUGUGACUCCAAAAAUAUUGGUUUAAAUUUUACCUCUCACCAAUAUUUCCAUAGAAUAACAGGAACAUUUUCUUGGACACAUUUGAGAAGAUUUAAUUGUUGAUUAUUUUUAGAGGUUUCUGAGGCUUUGAAAAAUCCUCAAUUCAAAUUUCAGAAUUUAAACAUGAUGCACACAUGAAGCUAGCCUAGAGCAUUACCAGAAGCUAGGGAUGUGACAACUCACCCCCACUAAACAAGAAUCUCGUCUCGAGAUUCAAGCGUAGGGUAGGAUGAAGGGGAAACACAAACUAGUACAAUCUUCACGAUCCAGGUUGCACUUCAAAUGAACGUUGAUUUGAACACCAUCUCUGUCUUGUCGUCUUGCUCUGAGAACUCCAGCUAACAUUACAAGAAGAGGAAAGGAGAACUCUAGAAGGAUUAAACUUCUUAAAGAACGAACAACUCAGGAUUAACUCACGGAAUGGGACAUAUGACCAUCUCUCGGGUUGAGACACGAGAUACACAUCAAGAGGGGUGGAGAGAAACGGAUGACGAAGGUUCACUAGGUAGACAACGAUUCCACACUUAAGAAGGUGGUAAACGAUUGUCAACGUAGCGAGGAGUUGAGUUGCCAUGAUACCACGACGAAACAUCCUGGAGGAGGGUGAUUCGUAGAUUGUUACCCUAAGUGGCAAAAAGAAUUACUUUUGAUUUAGAGAUCAUUGAAACUCUUCAUACCAGCCUAAGGCAAUCACAAGCGAUCAUUUGGAGGGGGUCGGUAGAAUGGCAUACUCGGACUUGGAUGAUGUGGAUUACCUUGUUGAAGACAACGCAAUGGAUGAUGUUUGCUUAUCACCGGAAAUGGAAGGGACCCAUGGUAGAAUGGCACAUUGGCGGUGCAAACUGGGAACAAAAUGCAAAUGAUGGGAAUGAUUCUGGUAACUGAGGAAGAACCCAACAAUAAAGAGUGAAUUCACUGUUUGAAUAGAUCAUAGCAUAACCGAGGAAACUGGGAGGAAUCCUAGUUAGAGCCGAUGGUAACACGUAGCACUUGUACGUGCUCUCAAGAACUUGAGAAUUUCCACAAUCAUCAAGAUUUUAUCAACAUCCGUGUCAAGGGUGCUGACAACACAACAUACUACCAUGAUGAAUAGCGAUGGACGAUGCAGGUGCAAAGGAAGACAACACCUUCUCAGAUUUCACCUUAGCGAAGCCAAGGAACAAAAUCUGGAUGAUCGACCGAGAGACAUUUAGCACUCCGCUUCUAAUGUUCUCCUUGAUGUGCUAGUGUAACCCAUUCAUAGAAAUGGUCUGGUAUCUAUAACAUCAAGUAAAGGUCGGACUUCGGAAAGACAAAAAUCAUAAGGCACAACUAGGGAGUAAAUCCUACGAAGUCUUUAUGGGAAGGUGGCCAACUUCAUCAAUCAAGAUAUUAUAAUAACAGGUCUUCCGGCUGGGUGUGCUGGCCACGACAUCCACUUUACCGGUUUCCGAGGGACCGAUAUUAUAGUUCUUGGAAAAUGUUCCAACCAUCAUAUCUGCCCGAGAUUCAGAUCUGGUUGGUGUCAGGAUAUUCCAGACUCAUCAAUUCUAGAAAGAAAAAUGAAAGUUUGCAACACAAAUCGACGAGAUAAUGUUGCGGGAUUCUCGGGGAGUGAGCUACGAUAGUAAGCUCCAAAACAUGAGCUGGUUCUGCUACAAACAUGUGAACACGUUGUCCCAGACAAGCAUGGCCAUGUAGUAGUCUUAUAAUUAAACACUACUGAGUUCAGGUGGGGAACCAUAAUCGAGGAUAUCGAAGUCUUUACGCAAGUCCAUGGAUUAGAUCCCAAGCAUAGAUUUCUUUUCCUUGAACAAGUCAAUCAGUGGCUUAGUGUGCUAGGGACACAUAUAGAAUGAAGGUUGCAAGUCUCCAGACUACAGAAUACUUCGCACGUGUGCAUGACUGAUUUGGGAUGAUUCCAAAGGAAACAAAGCAAUCUUUCUCAAAUUCACGGCGGCAACUUUCACCAAAUGCACGUGUAUAAGAGGAAGUCACUCCUUACAACCGACAUGCUUCAUGAGCUAGCAUGAAGAAUGCUUUCAAAAGUUUCCAACACUAACUUAUUGUCCAACAAAAUCAUGGAGGAGAUAAGGAUGUUGUCAAUGGGCACAACAACAAUUCAUCUAGGUUUCCUUUUAAAAGGAAUUCCAUAGUUAAGUGAACAAGUGAUAGCAUUGGUCAGACCCGAAAGAUAUAAUGGUGUAUGCUCGAGGGAUCAACCACGAGUAAGACAACAUUACGAAUAUCGUUGGUUCUGGUCUGAUUGGAUGAUAGCCCAUACUCCAAUCAAAGGUUAGAUAAAAAUGAUAGGUCCAGCAACUGAUCACAGGAACCAAUCGAGGAAGAUAUCAUCUUUCGUCAACACAUACUACACAAGAAUACCCCUUUGGAACGAACUAAGUCAGGCAAGCUUUUACCUUCCAACUCUCCAAGUUGUUGUCUAGCUUAACCAACUAGCUCAGGGAUAUCCAACACAGAUUCUUGGAGAAGGGUGGUUCACAAGAAACCAACUUGAUCACGAGCUCAACACAGCGGUCAGGUGACAACCUGGUAAUACUUCUGAGAAGAUAUUCAGAAAAUCACGAACCACCGGUAUGUUACUAAGCUCGAGAACAAUCUCGCUUUUCAGGGCAAGACGAUAUGAUCAAUAGAGCAAAGAUUUGAAAUGAUCCUAACUCAUCGAUCGAGGAGUGAACCAGGAGAAUGGACUAGGUAGCACGAUCAAUCUUAGAAUGAUGAUUCAAUAACCAACACACUAAGAAUGAAAUUAUUGUCCUUUAACUACCCAGCAACAAGGUUGCUAGGAGUAUUGAUUUCACACGCCAUGAUUCAUUUGUCGGCAUUCCGGUUACAAUAACACAGGAACCGAGGAAUGAACAAUGAUGGCAAGAAGUAUCACUGUACCAAGAGUACAUAGGAUGGUGUGCAAUUCUUAUAACAAUCUCGAUAUAAAAUAUGUAAUACUCCAAGGUAGAACAGAGCAAAAGAUGGGUUAGCAAUUUGAUCUGCAGAGCACAACUUCUUUGACCCAAUCCUGGAUAUGGAAGAGGUACUGGAGUUUGUUUCUCCAAGUCAUUCAGGACAGAAUGGCUUGACGGACCACAAGGGUAAUAGGCAUCGAUAAACGAAUGCAUGCAUACUCUUGACUAUCAAUUAAUAGACGAAGGUCAGUAGACAACUAAAGAGGGACAACUCAAAGGAACAUAUAACUUUCUGAGUUGUGGAUACAUGGGUUGGUAUGCCGAACAAAGUUCAACAUAAUUCUUUCGGAUAACCCAUGCAGAAAGGUUGAGCUGGCAGAGCCACAAUAUAUAAAUGGAGAACUCCUCAAGAAUAAUCUUGUUGUGAUAUUUCAGUUCAACGAGGAACUUCUGCCAUAAGUAGUUCAUGGUAUUUGGAAGAACGAUAUACCACGGACCUCGAGGACUAUCGCAAAGUUACUAAUAUCCUGAAGGAACUAGCAAACACUAUCAACAUGAAGUAAGUAGAGUGAAUCUCGGGUUCAAAACCCAGAAACAGAAUACCUAUUACUAAGUAGCAUCACGGGAUGCUUUCGAGAAUGAUGGCCAAAAUCAUCACACUGGGAACACAAUUCAUGGCUAAAUUACUAGAUGAUCCCCUAAGACACAUAGGGUCAUAAUAAUAUCUCCAACAUAUAUGUCAAGGUAACGGAGUACCUCAACUCACUGAUUAGUGUGGUUAAUCUGGCCCAUGGGAACAUUGAAACGGGAAGAAAGGAUUUGCAAUUGCAUCAGACUACUUAGAAACCUGGGAUGACUCGGACAGCAUAACGGCUGUAAAUGCUCAGAAAAGAUUUGAGACAUUCACAAAAAUGGUGGCAUAACCACUCAGAAGCACAAUAUCAAGGUUUCGAGAUCAUCAGUUAACAUACAGAAGUAGUAGGAACUGGACUCAAGCUUAACGAACAAUCUUAUAAGUCUACGGACUAGUAAUACGUAAUCCUGAUAGAAAGAAGAGAAAGCCUAGUUCUUAAUCCCCGCAGGAAAGAUAAGAUGACUCAGAUCAGAAGGCAUAAGGUAUAAGGAGUAAAAAGAGCCUUACGUUCCAUCCCACAAUCAAUUCCCUUAUAUAACUAAAGAAUUUCUAGACUCAACUUCGACCAGUUUGGCUUGGUAAUCCUACAGGCAGUCAAGCUCUGAUACCAACGCUGUCAGGACCCCGACUCAAUGCCACAUAGGUCUAGCAUGUAACACCUCAUAUCACUUUGCGGCCUCACGCACGGUAUUCCCACGGGUGUCGCCUUACCUUUGCCCGGGACCGUUUGCGUCUUUUGGCACACGUAUAUGAUAGUGUCGUUAGCACCCAUAUGAUAAGGAGCCCGGGCUGACAUGGCUAGUCGUAAACCCAAAGUGGCACAGACUUACAGGGACAGGCAUCCAUGACCCAGCAUCGAACGUGUCGGUCAUCAGCGAGUGAAUCCAGGCUGUAGCACUGGGCUAGCAGGACUCCGGUGAACCGGGCUGUAGCGGGCUAACAGGACUCCGGUAUUCAUCGCGUGACAUUUCCCCGAAGGGACAGACACAGGAACGAAGAAGGACACAUGUCGGCCAGCCUAAGUGUUCCGGAGCAGUAGCAAGCUACCAUGGCUCGGUGGAAACACUAGGAGACAUUUCCCGGUAAGAGAGGCUACUAAGGAUAAACAACUAGGUUGUCAGAUCCCACACAUACCAAGCAUUUCAAUAACAUACACACAAUAUGCUCGAUAUGUGCAAAUACAACAUGGCAUCACAACAUGACUCUACAACUCAAGUAUUUAUUCAAUAGGCUCCGAGGAGCGAGAUAUUACAAACAGGGGUCUCAUGACCCAACAAUCAGAGCAUACAAGUCAAAGCACAAGCGGAAGCUAUCAUGUCUGAGUACAGACAUCUAUAAAUGAAAAGGGCUGAGAAGCCUGACUAUUUAUCAGAUCCUGCCGAGGGCACAAGAUCGUAGCUGAGGUAACAAGCUAAACGUCGAAGUCCACGCGGAACUACUAGUGAGACUGAAGUCUCUCUGCACAAAACAUAAAAUAGGCAAACGUGAGUACAAAUGUACCCAGCAAGACUUACAUCAGAACUAACUACAUAUGCAUCAUUAUCAACAAAGGGGUGGUGGGGUUUAACUGCAGCAAGCCAGCUUUGACUCGGUGGCUAUCCUAAACUACGACUGCGAGUAACUCUUUUGAGGUGGCGCACACGAGUCCACAUAUUCACCAUAUCAAUACACCACUAUGGAUCCGCUCCCGUCUCCCUACGAGAACGCCAUCCAUAGCACUCACGCUUAUCUUGCGUAUUUUAGAGUAUCCACUUUCACUUGUCUAUGAACUGAUAUAAGCAACCCAGAAGUCCUUUUCCGCGGACACGGCUAUUCGAAUAGAUGAUGUUAACCCUGCAGGGGUAUACUUCUUCACACACGCUCUCACCACUUACCGCCGUUGUUGUCUAGCUUAACCAACUAGCUCCGGGAUAUCCAUCACAGAUUCUUGGAGAAAGGGUGGUUCACAAGAACCCGACUUGAUCACGAGCUCAACAUAGCAGUCAGGUGACAACCUGGUAAUACUUCCAAGAAGAUAUUCGGAAAAUCACGAACCACCGGUAUGUUACUAAGCUUGAGAACAAUCUCGCUUUUGAGGGCAAGACGAUAUGAUCAAAUGAGUGAGGACUUGACAAGAUCCUAACUCAUCAAUCGAAGGGUGCACCGAAAUAAGGACUAGGUAGCACGAUCAGUCUUAGAAGGAUGAUUCAAAAACCAACACGCUAAGAAUGAAAUUAUUGUCCCUUAACUACCAAGCAACGAGGUUGCUGGGAGUAUUGAUUUCACACAUCACAAUUCAUUUGUCGGUAUUCCGGUUGCAUCAACACGAUGGCCGAGGAAUGACUAAUGAUGGUGAGAAGUAUUACUACGUCAAAAUUCAUGAAAGUUGGUGCAGUUCUCAUGACAAUUCUGACAUGAAGGGGGUAAUACUCCAAGGUAGAACAGAACCAAAAGCUGGAUUGGCAUUUGAUCUGCGGAAUACAACUACUUUGACCCAAUCCUAGAUAUGGAUGAGGUACUGGAGUUUGUUUCUCCUAUUCAUUCUAAAAUAGAAUGGCUUGGCGGACCACAAGGGUAAUAGGCAUCGACGAACGAAUGCACGCAUACUCUUGACUAUCAAUUGAUAGGCGAGGGUCAGAAACAACUAAAGAGAGACAACUCAAAGGAACUUAUGAUUUUCUGAGUUGUGGAUGCAUGGUUUAGCAUGUCGAACGAAUUCCACAUGUUUCUUCCGGAUAACCCAUGCAGAAAAGUAGAACUGGCAGAGUUACAAUGUAGAAUCGAGAACCCAUCGAGAGCACUCUGAUUGUGAUCUUUCGAUCAGCGAGGAACAUCUGCCAUAAGCGGUUCAUAGUAUUUGGAAGAAAGGAAUACCACGAACAUCGAGGACUAAUGCAAAGGUUACUAAUAUCCUAAAGGAACUAGCUAACACUAUCAACAUGAAAUAAGUAGGGUGGAUCUCGGGUUCAAAACCCAGGAAUAGAAUACCUACUACUAAGUAGCAUCACGGGAUGCUUUCGAGAAUGAUGGCCAGAAUCAUCACACUGGGAACACAAAUCAUGGCUAAAUUACUAGAUGAUCCCCUGAGACACCUAGGGUCAUAAUAAUAUUUCCAACAUAUAUGUCAAGGUAACGGAGUACCUCAACUCACUGAUUAGUGUGGUUAAUCUGGCCCAUGGGAACAUUGAAACGGGAAGAAAGGAUUUGCAAAUGCAUCAAACUACUUAGAAACCUGGGAUGACUCGGACAGCAUAACGGCUGUAAAUGCUCAGAAAAGAUUUGAGACAUUCACAAAAAUGGUGGCAUAACCACUCAGAAGCACAAUAUCAAGAUUUCGAGAUCAACAAUUAACAUACAGAAGUAGUAGAAACUGAAACGAGGCUUAAGUCCAACAAUCUAUAAGUCUACGGAUUAGUAACACGUGAUCCUGAUAGAAAGAAGAGAUAGCCUAGUUCUUAAUCCCCGCAGGAAAGAUAAGAUGACUUAGAUCAGAAGGCAUAAUGUAUAAGGAGUAAAAAGAGCCUUACGUUCCAUCCCACAAUCAAUUCCCUUAUAUAACUAAAGAAUUUCUAGACUCAACUUCGACCAGUUUGGCUUGGUAAUCCUACAGGCAGUCAAGCUCUGAUACCAACGCUGUCAGGACCCCGACUCAAUGCCACAUCGAUCUAGCAUGUAACACCUCAUAUCACUUUGCGGCCUCACGCACGGUAUUCCCACGGGUGUCGCCUUACCUUAGCCCGGGACCGUUUGCGCCUUUUGGCACACGUAUAUGACAGUGUCGCUAGCAUCCAUAUGAUAAGGAGCCCGGGCUGACAUGGCUAGUCGUAAACCCAAAGUGGCACAGACUUACAGGGACAUGCAUCCAUGACCCAGCAUCGAACGUGUCGGUCAUCAGCGAGUGAAACCAGGCUGUAGCACUGGGCUAGCAGGACUCCGGUGAACCGGGCUGUAGCGGGCUAACAGGACUCCGGUAUUCAUCGCGUGACAUUUCCCCGAAGGGACAGACACAGGAACGAAGAAGGACACAUGCCGGCCAGCCUAAGUGUUCCGGAGCAGUAGCAAGCUACCAUGGCUCAGUGGAAACACUAGGAGACAUUUCCCGGUAAGAGAGGCUACUAAAGAUAAACAACUAGACGGUCAGAUCCCACACAUACCAAGCAUUUCAAUAACAUACACACAAUAUGCUCGAUAUGUGCAAUACAACAUGGCAUCACAAAAUGACUCUACGACUCAAGUAGUUUAUUCAAUAGGCUCCGAGGAGCGAGAUAUUACAAACAUGGGUCUCAUGACCCAACAUUCAGAGCAUACAAAUCAAGCACAAGCGGAAGCUAUCAUGUCUGAGUACAGACAUCUAUAAAUGAAAAAGGUUGAGAAGCCUGACUAUCUACCAAAUCCUGCCGAGGCACAAGAUCGUAGCUGAGGUAACAAGCUAAACGUCGAAGACCACGUGGUAAUACUAGUGAGACUGAAGUCUCUCUGCAAAAACAUAAAAUAGGCAAACGUGAGUACAAAUGUACCCAGCAAGACUUACAUCAGAACUAUCUACAUAUGCAUCCUUAUCAACAAAGGGGUGGUGGGGUUUAACUGCAGCAAGCCAGCUUUGACUCGGUGGCUAUCCUAAACUACGACUGCGAGUAACUCUUUUGAGGUGGCGCACACGAGUCCACAUAUUCACCAUAUCAAUACACCACUAUGGAUCCGCUCCCGUCUCCCUACGAGAACGCCAUCCAUAGCACUCACGCUUAUCUUGUGUAUUUUAGAGUAUCCACUUUCACUUGUCUAUGAACUGAUAUAAGCAACCCAGAAGUCCUUUUCCGCGGACACGGCUAUUCGAAUAGAUGAUGUUAACCCUGCAGGGGUGUACUUCUUCAUACAUGUUUCCACCACUUAGCGUCUGCACACGACAUGUGCGCGGCAGACUUCAAGCGAAAGCUGACAUGGGUGUAGACCACGACCUACCUAAACACUCAAGUCUCUAGUCCAGGUUUAUCGCCUAUUCGGGUUCCAUCCAUGAGGAGAUCCGGCCGGAGUUUCGCUCACAGCCCCAAACGAUGUGAACAGGGUUCCGUGACACCAAACGGGCGCCCGGUUUACCCGGCCACGUGCCUACCGCAUCACAGCCCACCCCUACGGUCAGCGCUGUCCACGGCCUCCAGCAUACUACAAACACCAGAAACUACUUGCAACUCCUGGAUAGAGGACUAGGGUGAAUAAGAAGUCGAGUGGGGUCAUAUUUCAGGGCCCAAUGUAUGGUAGUAGCUGAAUCAUGGAUCACAAACACAGAACUCAGUUCCUGAGGACGACUUCAAUGAGACAACCCACCAUGUACUCCUACAUGGCCUCUCACCGCUACCUUUACCAAAUCGUGUUCACACACUUAGCUCACACACAGUAGGACAUGUUCACACACCUCUGAUUCAUCCCCGAUGAAUCAGACCUGACUCAACUCUAAGCAGUAGCAGGCAUGACAAACAAACAUGAAUGAGUAGGCACAACAGGGCUCAAACAACUCCUACUCAUGCUAGUGGGUUUCAUCUAUUUACUGUAGAAUGACAGGUCAUGCAAAGGAUAAAGGGGUUCAGCUACCGCAGCAAGUAACAGAUGAAUCGAUGUUGUCCUAAUGCAGUAAAAGAGAGCAGGAGCGAGAGAGUAGGAUUGUAUCGGAAUGAACAAGGGGGUUUUGCUUGCCUGACACUUCUGAAGAUAACAUUGAGUCUUCAUCAGUGUCAACGAUCACAUCAUCGGUAUCACGUUUAUCGAGAGGGGACAAAUACCAGCAACACAGAAAGAAACACAAUCAAUGCAAUGCACAAUAUGAUGCAUGAUCAUGACAUGGCAAAAUGAAUGUGUUUUUGGGCUAAUGCAACUAGGAACAGAUUAAAUGAAGUUGGUUUGAGUAUAAAAUUCAAAUUCAAACUCCAUAUGUGAUUAAUUAAAUGCCCUUUAUAUGAUUUGUGCUAAACAGCAGCUAUAAGUUGAUCUAACAUGCAUGAAAAUGGUACAGAUGGAUUCCUUGAAUUUUUCUGAUAAUUUUUCAUAUAUAAUUUAUUUAAUUUGGAGUUACGGUUAAUUUUCUAUGAUUUAUUGAAGUUUUAGGCAUUUUCUGGAAUUUCCUGAAUUAAAUUAAAUCCAGAAAAUCAUUUAAUGCGUCAGCAUGACAUCACCUUGACGUCAUCAGGUCAACAGAGCAGGUUCAGGUCAAACCUGACCAGUGGGGUCCACUGGUCAGUGACACAGUGCUGACUAGUGUCGUUGACAGGUGGGGCCAGGUCAACGGCCACGUCAGCAGAGUCAAUGCUGACGGGUGGGGCCACUGGAUUAGUUAAAAACUAAACAGAAACUAAUCUAUGAUUAAUUAGCAGGUGGGGCCCUGCUGUCAGUGUCACAAAGCGGUGGUUAGUGGUUAAUUAAGCCAGCCACGUCACCGGCCACCGGAGUUCGACCAGCGGCGACCCGGAACGCGGCGGAAGUUCACCGGGGUUGCGCUACGGGCGACGGCUGGACGCACGAAGGGCACCAGAAGGUAGCCCGUGCCCAUGCGCAACUAGGGGGGCCAACGAGAGGGCGUGGGGUGGCCGGGGUUCGCCGGAAUGAAGCCCGAGGCGGCGGCCGGAGCUCGGGGGUUCGCGGAACUGGCGCUGCAGCUCACAAACGAGGGAGCUGAGGUGCUGGAGGGGCUCUACGGGUCACGGCUAGCGCAACGGUGCACGCCCGUGACCAAAUGGUCACCGGGAUUUCGCCAGCGACGAGUCCGUGCGGCGGAGUGUCUCGGCUCCGGCGGAAGCAAUGGCUAGAGCGGCCCAACGGCAGGGGAAGAAGAGGGGAACGGUUCAGUGGCUCACCGCGAGUCCAACGAGCGCGAGGGCGAGGCCGGGGACGCUCUGUGGCCGGCGAAUCAAGCGACGACGGCCGUCGGUGCAGAGGAAGAGGAUGGCGUCGGUGACGGCGCUCCAGGGCGUCCGGCGUCUUGUGGCUCCGUGGUAGGGACGGGAACGUCGCGGCGGAGCUCGGGGGCGCGUCGGAGAGGCGAGGGGAAGGCGGUGGCCGCGGUGGCUCUCGUCGGUGGCGACGGCUCCGUUCGGGGAGGGAAACAGAGGAGGGGGAGAGUGUUUGGGGACGAGGGAGGAAGCAGCCAGGGAGGAAGAGGGGCGAGGGGACACGAGGCGUGAGGGGAGGCUCGGGAACGACUCGGUGGAAGCAGGAGGUGGCCGAGGCGGCAUCGGCGCUCGCCACCGAGCUGCUUCGGUGCGAGGGGAGGAAGAUGACAAGGGGGAGGAGGUGGCUGGGCCGGCCGGGGGAGAUGGGCCAGGUAAGUGGCCCAGGUGGGCUGCAGGUAAUGUUUCUCUCCCUCUCUCUGUUUUUCCUAUUUUACUUCUGUUUUCUAUUUUCUGUAGUUUGAUUUGAUUUAGUUUAGCAACUAAAUCAUUUAAAUAAAUUCUGUAGAUUUUUAUGUGGCUUGCUAAGAUAUAUACAAAGCCACUCACAAACUUCCAGAAUUAUUGGAGUCAUAUUUAAUAUAUAUUAAAUAUAAUUCCAAAGGAAAUAGUUAUUGGAUUAAAUCAAAUGACCAAAAUAAUUAUCUCUGUGACUCCAAAAAUAUUGGUUUAAAUUUUACCUCUCACCAAUAUUUCCAUAGAAUAACAGGAACAUUUUCUUGGACACAUUUGAGAAGAUUUAAUUGUUGAUUAUUUUUAGAGGUUUCUGAGGCUUUGAAAAAUCCUCAAUUCAAAUUUCAGAAUUUAAACAUGAUGCACACAUGAAGCUAGCCUAGAGCAUUACCAGAAGCUAGGGAUGUGACAUAUAGCGCAAACUUGAGGAAGGUAUUGAUGGAACCACCGGUGGGAUUGGAAACAACGAAUGAAAUGAUACGGUAACAAAGGAAGAGGAAUCUCGAACGAACCACCGUAAGAAUUAAAAAUGAAAGUAGCAAAGGCACAAUUCAUCGGGAAGAAUUAGAAAAUGAAUGAAGAUACUUGAGGGGAUUUAGAAACAUGAGAACGAAGAGAUCAUGAACUGAUUAGAGGGUAUUUGAAUGAUGCACCGGUGAGCUGAGCUAUAUAUUAUCUCCCAUUGAUGAAUAAUACAUUUAAGCAUAUGUUUACAAUGGGUGCGUUUAGGCGGAAGUAAAUAGGACUAUUUAACAUGUCCUAUCCAAGGGCAGGCUGCAUGUAGGUAUGUAAAACAGGUAUAACGAUCGUGAACAGAUUCCACCUGGGUGUUUUUGUGCGCAAAGCCUGUUGCCUCCUUGGUUUUCUCUCCUAUGCAAGUUCGUCAAUCCGGCUCUUCUGAAGAGGCUGCCCUAAAGCAAUGUCCUGCAAGGUAAAAAGGGAAGGUUAUGAAGGUAUGCUGCGGUGAUACCGUACUGUUGACUGAGUCAUUGUUGCGCCUCCGCUCAUGCCCAUGGUAUUUUGAGUGCGUAAUUGUGUAUGCGUGGCACGAAUACUGCUUUGAUGGGGCUUGAGGGGAGGCCAGACUACUAGUCGCGCUCUUGGCGUGCCUGAUCAUCCUGUUGCAGGGUGCUCCGGACUCGUUUGAUGGUGCUCGAAGUUGCUGUUGCCGGAAUGGUGGUUUGUCGAAGGAGGCCGCAUUGUACUUCCUCUGCGAGGGCUGCAGUAUGCUCUUCUGUUCGGAGAGAGCGGUACAUGUUUCCGUUGACUGUUAUGACCCCGCGCAGUCCCGGCAUCUUGAGCUUGAGAUAUGCAUAGUGUGGUAUCGCAUUGAAUCUAGCGAAUGCGGUUCCUCCGAGCAGGGCGUGGUAACCACUGCGAAAAGGGACGAUAUCGAAGAUUAAAUCUUCGCUUCGGAAGUUAUCCAGAGAUUCGAAGACCACUUCCAAUGUUAUAGAGCCUGUACAACGGGCCUCUACUCCCGGAAUUACACCUUUAAAGGUGGUUUUGGUGGGCCUGAUCCUUGAAGGGUCGAUGCCCAUUUUGCACACUGUUUCCUAGUAAAGCAGGUUCAGGCUACUGCCGCCGUCCAUAAGGACUUGCAUGAGGUGGAAUCCGUCGAUGAUUGGGUCUAGGACCAAUGCGGCUGAGCCGCCGUGACAGAUGCUAGUAGGGUGAUCCCUACGAUCAAAGGUGAUUGGACAAGCUGACCAUGGGUUGAAUUUGGGGGCGACUGGCUCCAUCGCAUAGACGUCCCGUAGUGCUCGCUUCCGUUCCCGCUUGGGAAUGUGAGUGGCGUAGAUCAUGUUGACCGUUUUCACCUGGGGGGGGGGAAUUUCUUCUGUCCCCCGUGUUCGGACGCCAGGGCUCCUCGUCAUCGUUGUUGUGCAGCCCCUUGUCCUUGUUUUCGGCAUUUAUUUUGCCGGCCUGUUUGAACACCCAGCAGUCUCUAUUGGUGUGGUUGGAUGGCUUGUCUGGAGUGCCAUGAAUUUGGCACGAGCGUUCUAGUAUGCGGUCCAGACUGGAUGGUCCCUGAUUGUUUCUUUUGAACGGCUUCUUCCGCUGACCGGAUUUGGAUCCGAUGAAUCCGGCGUUGAAUGUCGUGUCUUCGUUGUUGUCGCUGUUGUUUCGUCGCUUGUGUCUGUUGCGCCGUGGUUUGCCGUUAUUGUCACGAACGUCCGAGGUGCCAGAAUGUGGCGUUGUGCUGCUGCGAGCCAACCACCUGUCCUCGCCCGUGCAAAAGUGGGUCAUGAGUGUCGUGAGAGCUUCCAUGGACUUUGGUUUUUCCUAGCCGAGGUGUCAGGCGAGCCACUCGUCAUGGAUAUUAUGCCUAAAAUCCGCCAGGGCUUCGGCGUCCGGACAGUCGACUAUUUGGUUCUUUUUAGUUAGGAACCGAGUCCAGAAUUUCCUGGUUGACUCUCCGGGCUGUUGAGGAAUGUGGCUCAAAUCAUCGGCGUCCGGUGAUCGCACGUAUGUGCCCUGGAAGUUGUCGAGGAACGCGUCUUCCAGGUUUUCCCAACUGCCAAUGGAAUUUGCUGGCAGGCUGUUUAGCCAGUGCCGGGCUAGUCCUUUGAGCUUAAGAAGAAGAUACUUGAUGGCGUGUAGAUCGUCUCCGCGGGCCAUGUGAAUGUGGAGAAGGAAAUCUUCGAUCCAUACUGCGGGGAAUGUUUGUGCCAUCGUAUGAUUCGAUGUUUACGGGUUUGAACCCUUCUGAGAAUUCAUGAUCCAUCACUUCGUCAGUGAAGCAGAGGGGGUGUGCGGCGCCUCUGUGCCGGGCUAUGUGGCUACAUAAUUCAAAUUGGUCUGGAUUGCUGUGUUUGGCCCGGCCGGACUUGUUGAUAAUGUAUCCGGCGUGACAGUCAUCAUCGCGCGCUGAGGUGCGCCCUCGUGAUCCGUAGAUCGAUCUUGGUUGUCCUGCUUUGUUUUCCAGUAUGUCUUGCAGGUCCUGCCUAUUGCCCCGGGCCGUAGUGUGUUGGCGUGGGGGUGCGGGCUGGUAUUCGGGCUGAUAUGCCGUUUUAUCCCGGCCACGGGGUGGCCGGUCAGCCGUGUGGCGCUCGAGUUUGUAUUCCUCGGCUGCCAGGACUUCGGUCCAUCUAUCUGUGAGCAGGUCUUGAUCAGCCUGGAGUUGUUGCUGCUUCCUUUUCAGGCUCCUCGUAGUGGCCAUAAGCCGACGCUUGAAGCGCUCCUGCUCCGCCGGAUCCUCGGGCACGUAGAACUCGUCAUCGCCGAGGCUAAUCUCAUCUUUGGAGGGGGCAUGUAGUUGUCCUCCUCCGGAUAUCCGUCCGUCGCCUAUUCGUCUGGGCUGACCUGCUCAUCUUCCUGCUCGGCAUGCUCGAAGGCGGGCUGAAAGUGCAACUAUCCCUAGGUGGUUUUGGUAAUUCAUAACAACAUAUAGCUCAUUGAGCUAAUGCUAUUCCAAGACUAUUAUUUCAGGAAAGCUCAAUGAAUGGCAUGGCAUGGAUGAUGAAAGUGGAUCCCUCAAAAUACUAAGGACAAAGGAUUGGCUCAAGCUCAAAAGCUCAAGACUCUUCAUUUUAUAUUUUAGUGAUCCAAGAUCACAUUGAGUCUAUAGGAAAAGCCAAUACUAUCAAGGAGGGAUGAGGUGUUGCUUAAUGAGCCUCUUGCUUCAUGUGCUUUGUGAUAUGCUCCAAAACCCUCAGCUACUUUCCCACAUCCACAAAUGACCUAAACCCAAAGCCGAAAUCGGUCACACCGAUUCUUCCUGUCCGGCGCCACUGAGUUCAAAUGUCAUAGCCACUGCCACAAACCCUAAGCAAAUCGGUCUUACCGAUAGGGAUCUUUGUCUCACCGAGAUGGGGUUGUAAUCUCUCUAUUUCCCUUUGUAACGUUUCGGUCUAACCGAAGUGAGCGAUCGGUCCCACUGAGAUUGCAAUGUAAACUCUCUGUUUCCUUUUUGUAACAUUUCGGUCUCACCGAAAAGAGCAAAUCGGUCCCACCGAGUUUACCUGACCAACUCUCUGGAAAGCUUAUUACCAAAUUGGUCUCACCGAGUUUGUGUAAUCGGUCUUACCGAGAUUACGUUAUGCCCUAACCCUAACCGAAUCGGUCUCACCGAGAUGCAUGUCAGUCCCACCGAAAAUCACUCACGGUCACUAGGUUUACUAAAUCGGUCCGACCGAGUUUAACGAUUCGGUCCCACCGAGUUUGGUAAAUUGUGUGUAACAGUUAGAUUUUGUGUGGAGGCUAUAUAUACCCCUCCACCUCCUCUUCAUUCGUGGAGAGAGCCAUCAGAAUGAACCUACACUUCCAACUUACCAUUUGUGAGAGAGAACCACCUACUCAUGUGUUGAGACCAAGAUAUUCCAUUCCUACCAUAUGAAUCUUGAUCUCUAGCCUUCCCCAAGUUGCUUUCCACUCAAAUCUUCUUUCCACCAGAUCCAAAACCUAUGAGAGAGAGUUGAGUGUUGGGGAGACUAUCAUUUGAAACACAAGAGCAAGGAGUUCAUCAUCAACGCACCAUUUGUUACUUCUUGGAGAGUGGUGUCUCCUAGAUUGGCUAGGUAUCACUUGGGAGCCUCCGACAAGAUUGUGGAGUUGAACCAAGGAGUUUGUAAGGGCAAGGAGAUCGCCUACUUCGUGAAGAUCUACCGCUAGUGAGGCAACUCCUUCGUGGGCGAUGGCCAUGAUGGGAUAGACAAGGUUGCUACUCCGUGGACCCUUCAUGGGUGGAGCCCUCUGUGGACUCGCGCAGCUGUUACCCUUCGUGGGUUGAAGUCUCCAUCAACGUGGAUGUACGAUAGCACCACCUAUCGGAACCACGCCAAAAACAUCCAUGUCUGCAAUUGCGUUUGAAUCCUCCAAUCCCUUCCCUUUAAUUUCUUGCAAGUUGCAUGCUUUAAUUUCCGCUGCCUAUAUACUCUUUGCAUGCUUGCUUGAAUUGUGUGAUGAUUGCUUGACUUGUCCUAAAGUAGCUAAAAUCCGCCAAACUCUAAAAUUGGAAAAAGGUUAAGUUUUUACUGGUCAAGUAGUCUAAUCACCCACCCUCUAGACAUACUUCAAGGUCCUACAAGUGGUAUCAGAGCGUUGGUCUCCAUUUGCUUUGAUGUCCAUUGCUUUUGGUGGUCAUAGCGUUGGUUUCACAACCUAGGAGAGUAUGGCGUCCAGCGAGGGGAACUAUCACCGUAGAGGUCCUUACUUUGAUGGUACUAAUUUUGCUAGUUGGAAGCAUAAGAUGAAAAUGCAUAUUCUCGGACAUAACCCCGCCGUUUGGGCAAUUAUUUGUAUUGGCUUGCAAGGUGAAUUUUUCAAUGGGAGAGAACCGAACUGUGAAGCUAAUGCGGAAGAAUUGAAGAUGCUGCAAUACAACGCUCAAGCAUGCGAUAUCAUCUUGAACGGAUUGUGCCCCGAAGAAUUCAACAAAAUCAGCCGUCUUGAGAAUGCAAAGGAAAUUUGGGAUACUUUGAUUGAUAUGCAUGAAGGUACCGAGUCCAUCAAGGAAUCCAAAUUGGAUGUGCUCCAAAGUCAGCUUGACAAGUUCAAAAUGAAGGAUGGGGAAGGUGUCGCUGAAAUGUACUCUAGGCUAGCUCUUAUCACAAAUGAGAUUGCCGGCUUAGGGAGUGAAGAGAUGACCGACAAAUUCAUCAUCGAGAAAAUCCUAAGAGCAUUGGAUGGAAAGUAUGAUACCGUGUGCACGUUGAUUCAAAUGAUGCCAAACUACAAAGAUCUCAAGCCAACGGAAGUCAUUGGAAGAAUUGUUGCUCAUGAGAUGUCACUCAAGGAUAAGGAGGAACUUCACAACAAGUCAAGUGGUGCUUACAAAGCCUCAAGUGAAUCCCCCACAUCAUCAAGUGAGAAACAAACCUUCAAUGAAGAAUUGAGAUUAAUGGUGAAGAACUUCAACAAAUUCUACAAGAGUAGAAGCAAAGAAAGAAGCUCCAAGUCAAGGUCUUACAAUGACAAGAGAUCUUCUAGUUGUGAGCGCAAUUGCUACAAUUGUGGGAGACCCGGACACUAUUCCAAUGAGUGUACGGCACCCUACAAAAGAAGAGAAGAUUCUCCCAGAAGAAGAAGCAAAAGAGAAGAAUCACCACCAAGAGAGAGGAGUAGAGAUGAUCGUUAUGAACGAAGAACCUCAUGGAGAAGCAAGGAUUCGGAAAGGAAGGACAAGUCAUCAAGGAGCUACACAAAACGAAGACAUCAAGCUCAUGUUGGUGAAUGGGUUUCCGGCUCCGAGUCCGACAAUCACUCCGAGAGAAGCUAUCACUCUGACUCCGAAUAUACUCAAGAUGAAGGUGUUGCCGGUCUAGCACUUGUGUCAACCAACUCCUACGACAUAUUUGAUUCACCAAAUGAAGGUGUUGGAAGAUGCUUCAUGGCCAAAGGUCCAAAGGUAACACAUACUGAGUAUGUUGAUUUCAAUAGUGAUGAAGAUGACUUGCUUGUGGAUGAUGAUUUACUUGUUGACAACUCUAGUGAUGAAUACUAUGAUGAAACGUCAAUUAAUCAUGCUAAUCAAGAUAAAAUGAAUGACAAUGAUAAGGACAAGAUUGAUCUUCUAACUAAAGAACUAAACACUCUUAAGUUGGCUCAUGAAACUAUCUUCGAAGAUCAUCGAGAAAUUUUAAGGGCUCAUGAGAAGUUACGCUUUGAAAAGCUCAAUCUUGAGCAAGAGCAUGAGUUCUUAAAAGCAAUCAAUGAUGAUCUCCGCAAGAAAAGUUCUUCUUAUAUUGCCAAGCGUUUACUCUUAUCUACUUACAUGCCUCAAGUCAAGUCUAGUAACAAGUACAAGAAAGAUACUUCCUCUAGUAGUAACAAUAAUAAUAAUGUCAAAUCCAAUAUUGUUGCUUCUAGUAGUUCUCUUGAUUCCACUAAUGAUUCUCUUAGCCAAGUUACACUUGAGCAAGAAAAUAGCUUAUUGAAGGGAAUUAUAGAGAAGGGUGUUUACAAGAGCCUUGCCGGGAGUAAGCAAUUCGAGGAAAUUGUACGCAAGCAAGGAAGGCACCGGAAGAAUCAAGGUGUUGGUUUUGAACGAAAGUUCAAUGCCAAUGGAGUUGAGUGGGAAGAAGAUCAAUACCCCAAGACGAAGUUUGUUCCUCAACAAGAGAAGUAUGAUCCUACUUCCUUCAAGGGAACACAAGCUCAAGAUGAUCUUCCACCACAAGACCACAAGAACAAAGUCAAGUACAAGCUUCAAGAAGAGAUUGAUGCAUUUGAAGAAGCACCUAAAGCCUCGUUCAAGUGGGUUCCCAACACUACAUCAAGUUCUACUUCAUCAACUACAACUACAACUCCAAGGAUUCCCAACAAGAUGAUGUGGAUCCCGAAGAAGAAGAACUAGAGAGUUCUUGAGGGUGACUCCGCCAACAUUCUUCACUCAUAUCAUUAUGGCAAGAACAAGUGCAAUCAACUUCCACAUCUUGCACUAGUUCAGGGAUUCACAAACCCUCAUGUUGGUAAGACAAGGGACAAGGUAACCUAAUGAUUUCAUGGACAUAAUCUCGUGUGUGCAUCACUCUAUGUCUAUGGAUAUUCUUGUUUGUUCCUUGUGGGACUAACCCAUGUAGGUAAGUUGAAAGUGCAACUCACUCCAAAGGAUUGCUCCAAAUGAUCUACAUCAACAUUGAGCAUCUACAUCUUCAACACCUACAUGAAGUCAUCAUCGACAAAACCCAAGGUUAGUUCAUCCCUCUAAGGGGGGAUCUCACAUCUAGGGGGAGCUUAACUCUAAGAAUUGAGUCAAAGCAACCCUAAUGGUGUGAACACAUCAAUGCAUUAUGUAAAAGUGGUAACCCCACUUGAGCUUAAACGAUGAGUAUGACCUAUGAUCAAAUGUUCUCAUUUGAAUCCUAAGUCAAUAUACUCAUAUAUAGAUGACCUAGUCAUCACCAAUUGCUUGAUAGAUGCUAGAAUUGGUUGUGCAUGCUUUCCCACAUAUUUCAUUUGCCAUCUUAUUGUGUGAGCAUGUUGGUGCAUAUUUUACUCAUUCAAGGACAUCCACUUGUUGUUUUGAUUGUUUGGUUUCUUUUCUUUUUGCCAAGUGGAUGGACAAGAAUGCCUAAGAACCUUCUUUAGCUAUCUAUGCUUUUCUCAUCUCAAACUCUGUUCAUGCUACAUCACAAAAUUUGAUCAAGUCAGAUUCGAACCACUCUGUGUGAGGAGCACUCGGAGUCCCCGAUUCGUCAUAGACUUAAUCUUCCAAAAUCUUUUUGUGACUCUCGGUCUGACCGAUUCCUCCAUUUCGGUCCUACCGAGAUCAUUAAGUUGAUCUGAGUUUUCAAUCUCGGUGCAACCGAUUUGAACUUCUCGGUCACACCGAUUUGCUGUAACUGUACACAGUUAUGCAUCUCGGUGCCACCGAGUUGUUCCACUCGGUCACACCGACAGGGUCGGGCUAUAUAUAGCCACGGGCAAAAAAAUUGGAAAUUUCUCCUAAACCCUUCGCCCGCGCAAUAGCUCGCUCUGCCAUCGGAGGUCUUCGGAUCGUCUCCUCGUCGCCAGCAACCUCCUGUCGCUGGUCUCCGCUGCCGUCAACGGAUUUCGUCUCCGCCGUUGCCACCGUAGCGAGUCCACUGCCAAGUUAGGGUAUGGACUCAAUCUUUGUGCUAUCCACGUCUGAUUCUAUAACAUUGUAUUCUUAUUGAUUCUUGCCAUGAUUGAAACUCUUCUAUCUAGCCAAAGUAAUCCAUAGAUUAGAUGAGAUUCAAAUUUUUAGGGUUAGGUUUCCGCCGAAACCAUCUCGGACCCACUGAGUUGAAAAACUCGGUCUCACCGAUUUGGCUUAUGCCAUUGCACUAGUGACUCUCGGUCUAACCGAGAAUUACUAAUCGGUGCGACCGAUUUGAGGAUUCUGUGAAACCCUAGCAGUCUCGGUGCCACCGAACUGAGACUCGGUCCAACCGAGAUCAUCAGUUUAGGUUCCAAAACUGCUUCGGUAUCACCGAGUUUGAAAAUCGGUUGAUCUGAAAUGCUUUCUGUGGAAAACUAAAACUGAACUUUUGAAUCAUUCUUUUGCAAAAAUCUCUGCAUUUUGUGAUGCUCAUCUAUUCUAUCUCAUCUAUAACUCUUCACAGGGUCAGCUGUCAGCUUUUGCAGUAUGUCAGAUCAGAGUGACAGCCAGAACAGGUCAGAAGAGCAGAUGGACUUGAGUGAGGGCACUAGUCCCUCAACUACAGAUGAAGGGAGCAGAAGUACUCCUAGCAAUUUGCCUAAGGCUGUUACUAGGCAAAGGAGGAAAAGAACUUUAGAUUCAGAGGAUGAAGAUUACAAAGCUGAGGAAGAUGAGGCUACUUCCAAGAAGGUAGUUCUCAAGAAAGAAUAUGGCUCUGCAUAGAGCACUAAAUCAGGUCUGAGGAAGAAAGUUCCCGCCAAGAGGACACCAAUGCCAAAGGCCAGAAAGUCCACUCAAGUGCCAGCUCAGGCUCAACCCAAAGAGGCACCUGCAAGGAAAGAAACAUCAUCCAAACCUCAGAAAGUUCCUACUGGAGAAACUAUGAAGUUCACAAUUGAGUCAUAGGAUGAUGGGGCUCAAGACAAGAAAAAGAAGAGAGCAAGAACCACAACUGCCAAGGUCCUUGGAAAGCCCUCAAUGAGAAGAGAAUCUGAAGAAGAGGAAGAGGAUGCUGCACCAGCACCUAAGGCACCUAAGCUUAUGGGUGAUGCAAUCAGAUCAGGGGCUGCAACAUCUAAGCCAAAGGAUGCACCCAAAGCUGCUUCCAAGGCCAUGCAAGUUCCAAAGAGGAACACUAGGAGUAUUCCAGCUGCUGAGAAGAACAAGGCCCCAAUGCCCAAUGUUGCUGAAGAAGAAGAUGAAGAAGGUCAAGUCUUAAGAAAGCUCAAGUCCAAGAUACCAGACCACAAUGAUGCCCAUCCUGUGGCUGAGGACAUGAGAAUCAGGAAGGAUUCAGGGCUGAGACUGUGGAGGAUAGAAGAUCCAUAUGCUUCAAGAAGAAGAACUGAUGUUGACUACAGGUUCCAUACAAAGGAACAACAAGACUUCUAUGAAACAAUUUUGUUGGACAAGAAGCCCAUAGUUUGUGACAUGAGGUGGGUCGACUGGACCUACAUCAAGGACAAUGAGCAGCACUAUCCUGGAGUGCAAGAAAGCUUUGUUGCUUGUGGAGUUGCUGAUUAUGUUGGACGGAAGUUCACCCACUAGAAUGAUGAGCUUAUCAUGCAGUUCUACUCCACAGCACAUUUUUACCCAGAUGGUAGAAUUGUUUGGAUGUCUGAAGGUACAAGGUACCAAUCCACUGUUGAAGAAUGGGCAAGUCUGAUAAAUGCCCCCAAGGAAAAUGAGGAUGACCUGGACAUUUAUGCUAAGAAGAAGAUGGAUCACAAUUCAAUGGCUCACAUGUACAAGGAAAUCCCAGACAAGGCAGUAGAGACUCAAAAGUUUGGAUCAGUUCACUUUCUGCUGUCAGGGUUGCCAACCAUCAAUUGGAUCCUGAGGCACACUUUGUUGCCCAAGUCUGGUGACCAUAACAUGAUCAGAGGGCAUGCCAUCAACAUGCUGCAUGUGUUUGAUGUGCCACAGAAGUUCAAAGUCAUGAGCCUGAUGAUUGAAACAAUUAAGAGGACUGCAGCAGAUCAGAAGAGGAGCUGUGGAUAUGCACCUCGGAUUGAGGAAUUGAUCAACUCAAAGAUGGGCACAGAGAGAUAUCAGUUGGAAAAGUAACAUUUUCCACUUUAUCCAGACUUUGAGGACAAUGAGGUUGUCAUGAAUGAAAAUGAUCCACAAUCAGUUCAAGCUCAGGAGAAGAAGGAGAAGGCAAAGAAGGAGAAGGCUGCCAAGAUGCCAACUCAAGAGGAGGCAUCUGAAUAUUUCUUGAAAACCAAACAGGAGCAGCUUGGUUACUUGAUAGCAUCUACACUGAGGACUGAGAAAGGACUAGCCACCCUCACUCAGAAUCAGGAGAGCCUUGAGAGAAUCAUGGAACUCAAGUUUCAUGACCUAUGUUAAAGUAACUGAGAUUCAGUCAGUUGUAGGGCAGCUGCAGGAUGAUAUGCAGGAGAGCUAGGGCAAGACUACCACAAAUGUGUUUGCCAGAGUGCCCAGAGCCCAGAGGUCAGUUGCAGUGCCAGUGACAGACACUAGAACAACAACUUCAGCACCAGCCAUAGUACCUACAGUUCCAGUGCAACCAGCUCCAGCAUCCACUCCAGCACCCUAUACUUCAAUUGAAGCCCUCUUCCUUGGAGUUAUCAGGACACCACCACCAGAAGAUCAAGCCUGAGAGUUGAUCUAGCACUAUGCAUUUUCUAUGAACUUUUUGGUAACUUGUUGCCAAAGGAGGAGAAAAAUGUAUAGAUCAUAGGCUUCGAGAGAGAGAGAGUGUUGCUUUUUGUUCUCUCUUGCUUUAUUUGGUGGUUUUUCAAACUUUGUUUGCUUUUGGUUGAGAUACUAUGCUUGUGAGACAUUGAUGAUCAUGUGUUUGAUCAUAAGCUACACUUAUGCAUGUUUGACGAUAUUAUCCUAUCUAUCUUAUGUGAUCAUUCACUAUGCUUGGUGAUGAGUGCAUGUAUUCAAUGUUUAUUAUUUUGAGUGCUCCACCAAGAUGUAUGUGACAUGGAAGAGUAACCCAUGAGCCUAAUUCAUUGUGCAUUUACAGUCCAAAGCAAAUCUUAACCCAUGCACAAAUUUAGGGGGAGCUCUUGCUUAUCACAUACUUCUCAAAGCGACGAUGUUAUUCAAUCUUAUUAUCAUUUGUCGAAGCUUUGAUCUAUAUGUUGUCAUCAAUUACCAAAAAGGGGGAGAUUGAAAGUGCAACUAUCCCUAGGUGGUUUUGGUAAUUCAUAACAACAUAUAGCUCAUUGAGCUAAUGCUAUUCCCAGACUAUUAUUUCAGGAAAGCUCAAUGAAUGGCAUGGCAUGGAUGAUGAAAGUGGAUCCCUCAAAAUACUAAAGACAAAGGAUUGGCUCAAGCUCAAAAGCUCAAGACUCUUCAUUUUAUAUUUUAGUGAUCCAAGAUCACAUUGAGUCUAUAGGAAAAGCCAAUACUAUCAAGGAGGGAUGAGGUGUUGCUUAAUGAGCCUCUUGCUUCAUGUGCUUUGUGAUAUGCUCCAAAACCCUCAACUACUUUCCCACAUCUACAAAUGACCUAAACCCAAAGCCAAAAUCGGUCACACCGAUUCUUCCUAUACGGCGCCACCGAUUCCAAAAGUCAUAGCCACUGCCACAAACCCUAAGCAAAUCGGUCUUACCGAUAGGGAUCUCGGUCUCACCGAGAUGGGGUUGUAAUCUCUCUGUUUCCCUUCGUAACGUUUCGGUCUAACCGAAGUGAGCAAUCGGUCCCACCGAGAUUGCAAUGUAAACUCUCUGUUUCCUUUUUGUAACAUUUCGGUCUCAUCGAAAAGAGCAAAUCGGUCCCACCAAGUUUACCUGGCCAACUCUCUGGAAAGCUUAUUACCAAAUCGGUCUCACCGAGUUUGUGUAAUCGGUCUUACCGAGAUUAUGUUAUGCCCUAACCCUAACUGAAUCGGUCUCACCGAGAUGCAUGUCAGUCCCACCGAAAAUCACUAACGGUCACUAGGUUUACUAAAUCGGUCCGACCGAGUUUAACGAUUCGGUCCCACCGAGUUUGGUAAAUUGUGUGUAAUGGUUAGAUUUUGUGUGGAGGCUAUAUAUACCCCUCCACCUCCUCUUCAUUCAUGGAGAGAGCCAUCAGAACGAACCUACACUUCCAACUUACCAUUUCUGAGAGAGAACCACCUACUCAUGUGUUGAGGCCAAGAUAUUCCAUUCCUACCAUAUGAAUCUUGAUCUCUAGCCUUCCCCAAGUUGCUUUCCACUCAAAUCUUCUUUCCACCAGAUCCAAAACCUAUGAGAGAGAGUUGAGUGUUGGGGAGACUAUGAUUUGAAGCACAAGAGCAAGGAGUUCAUCAUCAACGCACCAUUUGUUACUUCUUGGAGAGUGGUGUCUCCUAGAUUGUCUAGGUGUCACUUGGGAGCCUCCGACAAGAUUGUGGAGUUGAACCAAGGAGUUUGUAAGGGCAAGGAGAUCGCCUACUUCGUGAAGAUCUACCGCUAGUGAGGCAAGUCCUUCGUGGGCGAUGGACAUGGUGGGAUAGACAUGGUUGCUACUUUGUGGACCCUUCGUGGGUGGAGCCUUUCAUGGACUCACGCAGCCGUUACCCUUCAUGGGUUGAAGUCUCCAUCAACGUGGAUGUACGAUAGCACCACCUAUCGGAACCACGCCAAAAACAUCUGUGUCUCUAGUUGCGUUUGAAUCCUCCAAUCCCUUCCCUUUACUUUCUUGCAAGUUGCAUGCUUUAAUUUCCGCUGCCUAUAUACUCUUUGCAUGCUUGCUUGAAUUGUGUGAUGAUUGCUUGACUUGUCCUAAAGUAGCUAAAAUCUGCCAAACUCUAAAAUUGGGAAAAGGUUAAGUUUUUAUUGGUCAAGUAGUCUAAUCACCCCCCCUUUAGACAUACUUCAAGGUCCUACACGGGCUGAUUAGGGUUGUAUUUCUCUUCGGCACCAUCCGGAUUGUUUUCGUCUCCUUGGCCGAUAUUGCUGUGACGGGGCUUGGAGCGGCGUCGACGAUGCCCAUGCUUUGUUUUUCUCCCUGAGGGGUUAUCCUCCGUUGCCUCAUCGCCAUUGUUUUCCUUUGGAGUGUCCACUAUAUAUAUAUAUAUAUAUAUAUAUAUAUAUAUAUAUAUAUAGGAGGUGGUUGUCCACCGCCCCGUGAGUGGUGGUUCCUGUUCUUCUCCUGCAUCGUCGUCCAUACCGUCGAUGUCUUUGGAGUCGAAGUCAAGCAUGUCGGUUAAAUCAUCGACCGUGGCAAUGAAGUGGGUGGUGGGUGGGCAACGAAUUCCUUCGUCGCCUGCUUCCCACUCUAGCCGAACUUAGUUCGGCCAAGAGCCUCCUGACAAAGAGAGAGAAUUUAAUGAGUUCAGCAUGUCGCCAAAGGGCGAGUGCUGGAAGAUGUCCGCAGCGGUAAACUCCAUUACCGGAGCCCAACCUGGCUCGGCUAGCUUGAGAGUGCACGGACUGGAACCAACAACCGGAUACGAGUUCGGGGGUCCGGAGUUACAGUCUUCCUCAGAAGUGAGGCCCGUGUUCAGCUCUACCGCCGAUGAGUGUGGGGCCUAUAGGGCGGGGCCCAUCCCUCCGUCCUUAGGAAACGCAGCCUGCUCCAGAUUUAGGUCCGGGGCUACUGCAGGGGUGAUAUCCCGAACAUUCUCCGACAACAGGUCUAAGUCGUGCUCAUCUCGACUGUCCGGUGCUCCUGGCACAGGCCCGAAUCCAUCGAAGAUCAAGUCUCUGCGAAUAUCCGCCGUGUAGUUCAGGUUUCCGAACCCGAUCUGGUGGCCAGGGGCAUAGCUGUCGAUCUGCUCCAGACGGCCAAGCGAAUUAGCCCGCGGUGCAAAGCCGCCGAACACAAAGAUCUGUCCGGGGAGAAAGGUUUCACCCUGGACCGUGUCGUUGAUGAUGAUUGAAGGAGCCAUCAAGCCUUGUAGCGACGACACAGAGGAACUCUCAAUGAAAGCACCAAUGUCGGUGUCAAAACCGGCAGAUCUCGGGUAGGGGGUCCCGAUCUGUGCGUCUUAGGCUGAUGGUAACAGGAAGCAGGGGACACAAUGUUUACCCAGGUUCGGGCCCUCUCGAUGGAGGUAAAACCCUACUUCCUGCUUGAUUAAUAUUGACAAUAUGAGUAGUACAAGAGUAGAUCUACCACAAGAUCGUAGAGGCUAAACCCUAGAAGCUAGCCUAUGAUGAUUAUGAUUGUAGUUGUGAUCGGCCUUCUAAGGACCAACCUCUCCGGUUUAUAUAGACACCGGAGAGGGCUAGGGUUUACACGGAGUCGGUUACAAGGAAGGAAAUACAAUAUCCGGAUCGCCAAGCUUGUCUUCCACGCAAAGGAGAGUCCCAUCCAGACAAGGGACGGAGUCUUGAGUCUUGUAUCUUCACGCUCCAAUAGUCCGGACGAUGUAUAUAGUCCAGCUGUUCGGAUACCCCCUAAUCCAGGACUCCCUCAACGGGUAACAAGCAAUGAAAGUAAAUAAGGUGCAGCAAGGUGGCCCAAUCCUUUUUGUAGCAAAGGACAAGCCUGGACAAGUUCUUAUAUAGUGAAAAAUGCUCCCGAGGACACAUGGGAAUUAUCGUCAAGCUAGUUUUCAUCACGCUCAUAUGAUUCGCGUUUGUUACUUUGAUAAUUUGAUAUGUGGGUGGACUGGUGCUUGGGUACUGCCCUUUCUUGGACAAGUAUCCCACUUAUGACUAACCCCUAUUGCAAGCAUCCGCAACUACAAAAGAAGUAUUAAGGUAAACCUAACCAUAGCCUGAAACAUGUGGAUCCAAAUCAGCCCCUUACGAAGCAACACAUAAACUAGGGUUUAAGCUUCUGUCACUCUAGCAACCCAUCAUAUACUUAUUAAUUCCCAAUGCCUUCCUCUAGGCCCAAAUAAUGGUGAAGUGUCAUGAAGUGGACGUUCACAUAACACCACUACAGGAGAGACAACAUACAUCUCAUCAAAAUAUCGAACGAAUACCAAAUUCACAUGACUACUAAUAGCAAGACUUCUCCCAUGUCCUCGGGAACAAACGUAACUACUCGCAAAGAAUAUUCAUGUUCAUAAUCAGAGGGGUAUUAAUAUGCAUCAAGGAUCUGAACAUAUGAUCUUCCCCCAAAUAAACCAACUAGCAUCAACUACAAGGAGUAAUCAACACUACUAGCAACCCACAGGUACCAAUCUGAGGUUUUGCUACAAAGAUUGGAUACAAGAGAUGAACUAGGGUUUGAGAGGAGAUGGUGCUGGUGAAGAUGUUGAUGGAGAUUGACCCCCUCCCGAUGAGAGGAUUGUUGGUGAUGACGAUGAUGAUGAUUUCCCCCUCCCGUAGGGAAGUUUCGCCGGCAGAACAGCUCCGCCAGAGCCCUAGAUUGGUUCCGCCAAGGUUCCGCCUCGUGGAGGCGGAGUUUCGUCCCAUAGGCUUGCUUAUGAUUUUUUCCAGGGGAAAAGCCUUCAUAUAGCAGAAGAUGGUCACCAGAGGCCUGCCAAGGGGCCCACAAGGCAGGGGGGCGCCCCCCCACCCUCGUGGCUAGGGUGUGGGCCCCCUCUGGUACUUCUUUCGCUGAAUAUUUGUUAUUAAUUCCAAAAAAUGGCUUUAGUGGAGUUUCAGGACUUUUGGAGCUGUGCAGAAUAGGUCUAUAAUAUUUGCUCCUUUUCCAGCCCAGAAUCCCAACUGUCGGCAUUCUUCCUCUUCAUGUAAACCUUGUAAAAUAAGAGAGAAUAGGCAUAAGUAUUGUGAGAUAACGUGUAAGAACAACCCAUAAUACAAUAAAUAUCGAUAUAAAAGCAUGAUGCAAAAUGGACGUAUCAGGCGCCACCCCCUUGCCAUAUUCCGGAGAAGGGAGGAAGGAAAGAAGGGGCGCCUCUCCCCUUUCCUUCCCACUUGUGCCAAUAUUUGGCAGGGUGCGCACCAAAGGGAGGAGCCCUAGGGCUGCCGCCGCACCACUUAGGGCGCCCUAGGGGAUGCCUCCUCCCCUCCCACACCUAUAUAUAUGUGAGGAGGGGUGCCACACAAUACACAGCUUAUUCCACGCUGUGUGUCGGCACCCCUCCGCCUCUAGUUUACUCCUCCGCUCUAGAUCAUCGCAGUGCUUAGGCGAAGCCCUAUGGGAUUACUUCACCACCACCAUCACCAUGCCGUUAUGCUGAUAGAACUCAUCUACUACCUCGUGCCGCUUGCUGGAUCAAGAUGGCAAGGACGACACUGAGCUAAACGUGUGCAAAACGCGGAGGUGCCGUGCAUUUGGUACUUGAUCGGGCGGAUCGCGAAGGUGUACGACUACAUCAACCGUGUUGUCAAAUGCUUCUGCUUUCGGUCUAUGAGGGUACGUGGACACACUCUCCCCCUCUCCUUGCUAUGUGAUACGUCCAUUUUGCAUCAUGCUUUGAUAUUGAUAUUUAUUGCAUUAUCGGCUGUUAUUACUCAUUAUGUCACAAUACUUAUGCCUUUUCUCUCUUAUUUUACAAGGUUUACAUGAAGAGGGAGAAUGUCGGCAGCUGGAAUUCUGGGCUAGAAAAGGAGCAAAUAUUAGAUACGUAUUCUGCACAACUCCAAAAGUCCUGAAACUCCACGGAAGUUAUUUUUGAAAUUAAUAAAAAAUACUGAGCGAAGAAAAUACUAGAGGGGGGCCACCCACCGUCCAUGAGGGUGGGGAGCGCGCCCUACCCCCCUGGGCGUGCCCCGUUGCCUCGUGGGCCACCUGGCAGGCCUCCAGUGCCCAUCUUUGGCUAUAUGAAGUCUUUCGCCCUGGAAAAUAUAAGAAGCACGCUUUCGGGACGAGACACCGCCGCCAUGAGGCAGAACCUUGGCGGAACCAAUCUAGGGCUCCGGCGGAGCUGUUCUGCCGGGGAAACAUCCCUCUGGGAGGGGGAAAUCGUCACCAUCAUUAUCACACUUGAUCCUCUCAUCGGGAGGGGGUCAAUCUCCAUCAACAUCUUCACCAGCACCAUCUCCUCUCAAACCCUAGUUCAUCUCUUGUAUCUGAUCUUUGUCUCAAAGCCUCAGAUUGGUACAUGUGGGUUGCUAGUAGUGAUGAUUACUCCUUGUAGUUGAUGCUAGUUGGUUUAUUCGGUGGAAGGUUUUUGUUCAGAUCCUAUAUGCAUAUUAAUACCCCUCUGAUUAUGAACAUGAAUAUGAUUUGUGAGUAGUUAUGUUUGUUCCUCGGGACAUGGGAGAAGUCUUGCUAUAAGUAGUCAUGUGAAUUUGGUAUUCAUUCGAUAUUUUGAUGAGAUGUAUGAUGUCUCUCCUCUAGUGGUGUUAUGUGAAUGUCGACUACAUGACACUUCACCAUUGUUUGGGCCUAUAGGAAGGCAUUGAGAAGUAAUAAGUAGAUGAUGGGUUGCUAGAGUGACAGAAGCUUAAACCCUAGUUUAUGAGUUGCUUCGUAAGGGGCUGAUUUGGAUCCAUAUGUUUCAUGCUAUGGUUAGGUUUACCUUAAUACUUCUUUUGUAGUUGCAGAUGCUUGCAAUAGGGGUUAAUCAUAAGUGGGAUACUUGUCCAAGGAAGGGUAGUACCCAAGCACCAGUCCACCCACAUACCAAAUUAUCAAAGUAACGAACGCGAAUCAUAUGAGCGUGAUGAAAACUAGCUUGACGUUAAUUCCCAUGUGUCCUCAGGAGCGCUUUUCUCUAUAUAAGAGUUUGUCCAGGCUUGUCCUUUGCUACAAAAAGGAAUGGGCCAUCUUGCUGCACCUUAUUUACUUUCAUUACUUGUUACCCGUUACGAAUUACCUUAUCACAAAACUAUCUGUUACCGAUAAUUUCAGUGCUUGCAGAGAAUACCUUACUGAAAACCGCCUGUCAUUUCCUUCUGCUCCUCGUUGGGUUCGACACUCUUACUUAUCGAAAGGACUAUGAUAGAUCACCUACACUUGUGGGUCAUCAAGACUCUUUUCUGGCACCAUUGCCGGUGAGUGAAGCACCUUUGGUAAGUGGAAUUUGGUCAGGAAAAAUUUAUAUAGUGUGCUGAAAUUUACUGUCACUUGUUACUAUGGAAAGUAAUCCUUUGAAGGGCUUGUUCGGGGUAUCUUCGCCCCGACCAGUAGAGCAAAGAGUUGCUCCUCAACCUACUGAACCUACUAAAAAUGUUUACUUUGAAAUUCCUUCGGGUAUGACAGAGAAACUGCUAGCUAACCCUUUCAUAGGUGAUGGAAUAUUACAUCCCGAUUUGCACCUAAUUUAUGUGGAUGAAGUUUGUGGAUUAUUUAAGCUUGUAGGUAUGCCCGAUGAUGUUAUCAAGAAGAAGGUCUUCCCUUUAUCUUUGAAGGGAAAUGCAUUGACAUGGUUUAGGCUACGUGAUGAUAUGGGAUCAUGGAACUACAACCGAUGGAAAUUAGAAUUUCAUCAGAAGUUUUAUCCUAUGCAUCUUGUUCAUCGUGAUCAUAAUUAUAUAUAUAAUUUUUGGCCUCGCGAAGGAGAAAGCAUCGCUCAAGCUUGGGGGAGGAUUAAGUAAAUGUUAUAUUCAUGCCCCAAUCAUGAGCUCUCAAGAGAAAUUAUUAUUCAAACAAUUUAUGCUCGGCUUUAUCUCAACAAUCGCUCCAUGCUCGAUGCUUCUUGUACUGGCUCUUUCAUGAUGAAGACUAUUGAAUUCAAAUGGGAUUUAUUGGAAAUAAUUAACCACAACUCUGAGGAUUGGAAUCUCGACGAAGGUAAGGAGUCAGGUAUAACACCUAAGUUUGAUUGUGUUAAAUCUUUUAUGGAUACCAAUGUUUUCCGUGAAUUUAGCACUAAAUAUGGACUUGACUUUGAGAUAGUAGCUUCUUUCUGUGAAUCCUUUGCUACUCUGAUCACCCUAAGGAAAAGUGGUUUAAAUAUAAUCCUCACAUUGCAGUAAAAGUAGUUGCACCUAUUAAAGUUGAAGAAAAGACUAUCACUUAUAAUGUCGAUCCUAUUGUUCCUACUGCUUAUAUUGAGAAACCACCUUUCCCUGCUAGAAUAAAGGAUCAUGAUAAAGCUUCAACUGUGGUUCAUAAGAGUAACACUAGAACACCUACACCCCCUAAGCAAAUUAAAGUUUAACCUGGUAUCGCUAUGGUUAAAGAUCUCUUGGCUGAUAAUAUUGAUGGGCAUGUUAUUUACUUAUGUGAUUAAGCUGGUAGAAUUGCUAGACCUGAUACUAAAAAUAAACAUAAACCUGUUGUAGGCAUUGCAAGUAACGUUUUUACCACAAUUUCUUAGGAAACUGAGUGCAAUAAUUGAGUAGUUUUGCCCGAGACCUUCCAACUAGACGUGUCUUUCUCUCUAGGUCGCACUUUGUAUCAUUCAUACCACUAGUACUACGUGUGGUCUCCAAACUAGAAGUGAAAGAAGUGGAGACGCUCUACCACGUUGUUCAUGUCCCACUCCUUUCGCUGACGUGUAGGACAUCCAGCAUGUGCCGUGUUUGGCACUGCUUCGUCCUAAGAGUUGAAACGCUAGCUUUCAUCAAAAAUAAAAAAUAUAUAAAUCAGCAGUGAUACCAUACCACGCGGUUUCCUUGCUCCUCUAUAUCGGAAAGAAUACUUCUGUUCACUGACAUGUGGGACGUCGACCAUCCUAGUCCACUUGCCAUGCACGCAGAACUCCGAGGGGGGGUCACCCCGGUCAUCGUGCCGCAGUAAUAGUGACUAAUGAGCCGUCAAAUCACAGGCCCAACCUUUCCCACUGUGAAGUUGCUCGGACUUUGUUGAAUUCCGCUUCCUGAAGAAAACUAAUGUACCAACAUUACUGCUAGCUAUAGUAGUAUUGUACUCCAGCAUAGGCCUCCUUUGGUUCAUGGGAUAGGAAUUUUAUAGGAAUAUGAAAAUCAUAGCAAGUGAGACGACAUGCAUCUCAAUUCCAAUAGAGAAAGAGAUACCAUUUGAUGCAUAGGAUACAAAUUUUUCCAUUGAGUCUAGGCUAAUGUACUGGUAAUUUGCUCUAAAAACUACAGUAGUAACUAGUACUGGUACAUGCUUGUAAUUAAUUGAACGGUAUGGGCGACACAGACACAGACACUAUUACUAGUACUACUACUUCUCACAUGCUGGCCAGAUGCCGUCGUUCUCCUUCCUGGCUUUGUCGGCGACACCCCACCAUGCUUGGACCUCCGCCAAGGUCCCCGCAGCAGCGUGUGCAUCCUCUUCUUUCUUGCGGCGGAGGGCCUCUCUUUUCUUGAGUUCUUUCUACCUUUUCCGCUCCCUCGGUGCAGCUUUGGCUGCCUCUCGCUCUACCACCCAUUCGGCCUUAGCAGCUUCAAAGUCCGCCCACGUAGUUGUGAGGUCGCGAGCAGCGAUGAACUUGGCAUGGCGGGAUGCCAUACCAUUUUGUGUGCGGUCGUGGGCGGCGAGGAACUCAUCACAACGGGAUGCCAUUGCUUCCUUACCGGUUAGUGUGCGGGGUGGUGGCAUGAACGAUGCUUGGUGAGAGCUCUGGGGCGGAGUGGCCGGACAACCGUAUCUAGUGCAUUGGUUUGUCAAGAGCUCAAGGACAGAAGACAAAGGAAAUUUGCAUUCCCCUUCAAUCCUGGACAUUUAUUACCUAGUAAAAUGCAUUGGCGAUCAUCGAACUUGUCUCAAUAGCUCACUUGAUCAUUGUAUAAGAGAUAUGGUGAUUAUACGAUCACAGGCUCAGCGUAUAGCUCCAUAUUUGUCUGGUUGACCAGUAAAACAGUCCGCAUGUGCCUCAUCAGCUCGUGUUCUGUAUCUAUCUAUCUAUGCGAGCCUACCUGUCGGUGAUAAAAACCAAAAUUAUGCGUACGUGAGGAAUCAAACCACAGACUCGUCGCUGUAACGCACACUCAUCAACCAAAUGAAAAUGAAAUACUUUGUGUUAAAUGCACAAAUCAUUUUUUUACAUUAUACGUCAUGCACACAUUAGCGCACACCGUCCAUAGACGCAAGUAGUAUGUACGCGUGCAGACACUCACGCUCACAUUGUCAAACCAUGCUAAUGCAUGCACAUCACCCUCUCAAUCAAAGUCCUGCUCAUGGCACAACACAAAUGGCGAGCCCAUCACCUGCGCGUGCUGGCAGUGCCUGACAUUACUGUUUAGACAUUUGCUGGCGGCCUCCACGAACACCGAGCAUGUAUUCACCUGGCUCAACACCAACGUCAUACUCGUGCUUGGGAGCCGAGCUGCUCGACAUUACCCAUGGCUCUGCACACGACGUGACGAUGUGGCUCGACGUCUUGCUCAGGUAUAUCAUCCAUCACAACGGCAAUCUAUAAAAAACCUAGCUAGAGAGGGUACUAUAGUACCUAUAUAUGUAUCGUGAGCGACCGAUCAUAGUGCCACUGCACACAAGUGUGUGUUUGAUCGAUUCGUCCAUUAUUCCUAAGUUAUGCAUGGUUGUGUGGUGUCUAAUGGUGGUCGUCGAAGGCUAGCUGGCGACAAGAGCGGUCGCAUGGACGUCUGGUUGUCUAUACGUGUUGCAUACGCUUCAAAGGCUCGUCAUCCAUGACUUCACAUUUUACCACCACGCCAGUGUCUGACCGCCCUGGCCUACCGAAACCCUUCCAUCGCUAGCGCGCGCUUCCCACCUAAAACAGUCACAAUGGAUCCAGAACGUCAAUGCCGUAUUCACGCCCAACGCGAUGUCUCACUGGCGCCAGCAUUGCAGCAGCGUGAUGGCCGAGAGAGCGCCACCCGCGCGGCAUCCCGGUGCAACCGACUGCUCCGCGUUAGCGACACCACGGCCAUCUGUCCGUCCGCCGCCCACAUUAAUGACACGCGGCUGCUGACGAGCCUACUCCAGUGCUAGCCGUCCAUCCGUCUGUCACGGCUCAUUUCCAUUCGCCCGCUAUAUUAACUUCAGCCGCAGCUCCCAGCCAUAGCCAAAGACCCACAGUCAUUCUCCUCCGGUUCCUUCCUUCUAUCGGCACCACUCCAACCAUGGCCUCCUGGCGCUCCAAAGCUCUCUUGGACGUACAGUCGCAGGAGCAGACGAAGGACAUUAGCGGGUCCGCUCCGGGCGCGCUCCAAAGCUCUCUUGGAUGUAUUGUCGCAGGAGCAGACGAAGGACAUCACCGGCUCCCCUCGGCCGCCCUCCGCCGCCACAACCACGAAGCCGGCAUGCGUGCGCGGGCACAGCCGGCAGCGAGGAAGAGUAGUACAUGGUAGGUCGCCGCCGCUCUGGUCCCAGGAAGGCCACCGCUCCUGCACUCAGUCGAUGCCAAGCUUGGUGGGGUAAACAUCAGCGGCCAAUUAGCCUCUUGACGGCGACAUGGAGGUGGAAAUCUUCAGAACCAUGUGCUCCAGAGGAGGAGGUUACCGAGGAAGAGCUGGACAAAACUGAGGCGGAUGAGGAGGAGGCAAAGGCAAUAGCCGGAGCAUCAGUUCUCGGGGCUCUUGGCCGAACAUGGUGGUCGGGCGCCGGCGAUCGUUUAGAUUAGGUUUACAAUAGGUUUUAGUACGGUUUGUGUGAAAUAUGUAAUAAAUUCGUCCAGUUUAUAGGAAAGGUUUUCGAAAUGUAAUGAAUUUCAUCCGGUUAAUUUGAAAUUUGUUUUGUUUGCAUGAAUUUCGUCCGGUUAGCCGAAUAAACCAUCGAUUAUGUGGGACUGCAAUUGAAUAAACCAUCGAUAGCCGAAAUCUAAUUGCUCGCCGGGCGUUGGCUGAGAAGAGAGAGACGGGGGAGGGAGAAGAGAUCGCUUGCCUGCCGUGCACGGAUUCCAAGCCUGCUUCUGAUCGCCCUGGCCCACCAGAAAACCCUCCAUCUCCCGCGCGCGCUCCCCCCUCAGACGCCAGUUGCCCGCAUUCAUAGCAAGUAGUAGUUCAAUACUGGGCUAUAAGCCCGAUUAUGUGGAGGAGAGAGAGAGGCAUUGACAAAGUCAAAGAGUGGGCUCUGCAAGAUCCCGUCUCUACACGUGCUCCUAGGUAUAAAAAACGAAUUCUAAAAAAAUAGGUAUAAAAAACAAUUGUGUCUAAAAAAUAAGGUGAAAACAUCUGAGAGGAAAUAGAUAGAGAAAGUGAGAAAAAGUUGUAACCUUAUAGUCAACACUAUGGUACAUGAGGAAGGAGGGAGUUGUGCCCAUGCCAAGUUCACCGGGCUGCCGUGUUUGACACUCCUCCGUCGUAAUAGUGGAGAAACUAGCUUUCAUAAAAAAUAAACAAUGAAUACUCGUUGCUCAUCCUCGAUGUCGGAAAGAAUACUUUCAUUCGCCGACAUGUGGGAUGUCGUCCAUCCUGGUCCACCUGCCAUGCAGAAAAUUAUCCUGGUCCACCCCGGUCGUAGCACAGGCCCAACCUUUCCCCACUGUAAGUUGGUUGGAUGAAGGAACUGCCAUGACUUCAUUGAAUUCCGCUUCUUCAAGAAAACUUACUAUACCCGCAAUACUGCUACCACACGCGUAGACUGGACGGCACUGUAGCACGUCAUAUCACUGGAACCCACUAGGCCAAACUAGCCCGCCUAGGAUUUGUACGUCUCUGUACUGCUAUGAUUUUGUGUUCUAAAAAAAUAUCCUUUGUCAAUCGAACUAUUAGGAGUAGAAAGGGAUUCUUUCUCUCUCUCUCUCUCUCUCUCUCUCUCUCUAGAUUUCUCUCCAUCCCACAACCCCUCUAGCGCACGUACACACUCUUUGUAGCCACUCCAAAAGUAUGACAUCACUACACAUUCACACCUCCAACAAAACAAUUACACAUUCACGCAUGUUACAAGUACGUGCCAAUUUUGCUGGCUAUUAAUGUGAGGCCCCCUUUGGUUUAGAGGAAUCUUUUAGGAAUUUCAUAGGAUAGGAUUUCUAUAGGAAAAAUUUCUGUAGAGCCUUUUGGUUUAUAGGAAUGGAAUCAUAUUCCUAUGCAGGAAUUCUUCCUAUCCUUCACAUUUCAUAGGAAAAUAAACAUUAGCUUAGACUCAAUGGAAAAAUCCUAUGAUGUGAAUCAAAGGGCAUCUCCUUUCCUAUUCCUACUCAUAGGAUUUAAGAUACAUGUCAUCUCAUUUCCUACGACUUUCCUAUUGAUAUGAUUUUCCUACCCUAUGAACCAAAUGAGGCGUGAAUGUAUACGUGAACCAACUCUUUGAGUUUGAUGUGAAUUAAUGUAUAAUUUUGGACUACUGUUUGAUCGAUUGCUAAGCCCACAAUUUUAGGAGCUUGGGCUAUUGGCCGAUCGAUGACGGAUCAGACCUAUAAGCAUACCACGAUCUCAUCAGCCCCAACGUUUCUCUUAAGUGAGUGUUUUGCAAGUACUAUAGCUCGCAGAGUAGCUAGCCUACUAACACCAAGAAUCAUGAAAGAAGCCCUGUUGAUAUGAUAAAAUAGUUCAAACUUACAUCUAAGCAAGCCAUAUAUUACAUCAAAAGCUAGUGAGGAUACAUCUGUUUCCAUAACUCGGAGAGGGUUCGAAUGAUUCACUAUCAAACAAAAGUAGCAAGUACCACCCACACAAGAGAGUGCAAUAGCCCUAAGAUGGUUUGAUAACACGCAUUGUUCUGGUAAUUAAACACAAUGUAAACUACCUUGAAGGAUUAGCACGACCAACUAUUUCUUGUCACCGAUCUCUCGGGCAAUGACCACAGCACGGACAACGGCAUGGGAAUCGAUCUCUGGGGCGAUGUCCACAGGAAGGAAUGCGACAUCGAAACCGAUCUCUGGGGCGAUGUCCACAGGACGGACCGUGACAUCGGAAUCGAUCUCUGGGGCAAUGUCCAUAGGACGGACACCGGCAUCGGAAUCGAUCUCCAGGGCGAUGACCACAGGAUGGACCGUGACAUCGAAAACAAUCUCUAGGGCGUUGUCCACAGGACGGAGCGCGACAUCAGAAUCAUCAAGGACGUCCACUGGCACCUGCACAACCCUAACAUAUUAGCAAGCACAUUGCAAAUAAUCAAAAACCACAACUAUGGUAAGCCAUUUUUUACCUUGUGCAGCUCAUCGGGGGAUCCCAUCCCACCCAGGGUCAUCGCCUUGCCAGGGAAAUACUGCUUCUCAAUGACGACUAUCUCCUCAAACUCAGCCUUGAGCCUCUUAUAGGUGGCCAUUAGUGUUUCUGGGAUAGGCACGGUGGGGCCCUUGCUGUUCUUCCAGCUUUCUUUGAGGAUUUCGUCCGCCAACGUCGUCAAAUCUUUCACCAAUGCUUGUUUCUUGGAGUUCUUCGUCUCCAUGGGUUGGCCCGCCGACAUGGCCAACUCGUUGGUCGGUGCUCGCUUCCUGGAGAUCUCUGCCUCGAGUGGGUUGUCCGCCAGCAACUCUUUGCCUAGUGCUCCAGGAUCCAUCAAUAAACUGACAAACAAAAGUGAAAAGGAAACCACAAUGGCAAUGAAAACAGGAAAAGAAUAGGCUGUGAGAAUCGGUCGGUGCUUCACAAAAAGAAGAUUCUUGGAAUGAAAAUAUAGUAGCAUCACUGAUUCGCCUACCUUUCCUUCGUCGGUACAGAAGAAAAAUUGUAGAAGUGAGUAUCCUGGACUGAGGUUUUCUUCAAGGGUAGAAAGGGCUUCAACGAGCUUUCAUGUGAAAUGAUGGUCGCUUCGUCCAGUCCAACUUCGAGGCCACUAUACCACUACUGGUAAAGGUGUGGGUUUUGUGAUAUGACAGGUCAUGACGGCCACACCUGGGUGACCGGUGAGUCUCGACUGUAGCACCUCACUAUGAUUUGGUGGAUGGCACACGGGCCCAGAUGCUUUGAUGUCCCUCAUGUAGAUAGAGCGGCUAGUCAUAUAUAGUACUCUGUCCUGGUUUAUUGGUCCCUAUGAUAAAUCUGUGCCAAAUUUUGACUAUAAAUUUAACUAAGAAAAUGUUCAUGCAUGUCAGGAAAAAUUACAUCAUUGAAAACUAUGUUCAAAUACGAACCAAAGGAUAUAAUUUUUGUUAACAUGAACUAACAUUUUGUCAGUUAAAUCUUUGGUCAAAAUUUAGCACAAAUUACAAAGGGGCCCAUAAAGAUUGUACUCUCACAUUUUGUUUUGAGGAUACUCCCACAUAGAAAAUAUCUAUAUCUAUACCUACUAAUAAAGUAAGGUGCAUUUCUCCAAUUUUUUCAUCUGUUCACCUAAAUUAGUUUUUUUUAUUAUUUUACUAUCUGAGGUGGUACUAAUCUUUUGCGCAGUACACUCGCAAUCAAAAAAGCUCGUCUAGGAAUUUUUAUACAUGGGUUGCCCUUAGAGUCCACCGCAUAGGCUGGCCAUCCUUAGUAUUUUUUCCUUCACAUGGAGCAACUAAAAAUAUAUGCAAGCAAGUGUAUCCCACCUCACUUUUUUAUUGUGAAUUCUAUCACUUUUUUUAUGUCCGUGAGUUGACUCAAAGCAGCAAAGAGCAACCGACCGAUACAUCAAGAAAGAGGGGUGUGAGCUCUAGUAAAUAAUAAUGCAUGUUGGGGUAGCCCACGUUUCCGAUAAUUUUAGCCAUGGGCUAGUUCACAAAUUUUACGAGACGGUGGUUGUUCACUUAAUGGAGGGUCUAGUACCAGACUUGAGCGAUACAAAGUGUGGCCUGGCACACCGUAACACCACUUGGAAUGAGGGGGUAGCUAUCUCAAAGAACAAUCAACAACUCAAAGAAAACGGUGACCUGGCAUGUACACAAUUUUAAAUGAUUGUUUUGAUGGAGUGAAAAAAAACUACCCCACUAUACGUUAGGCUGGAGCCUCCUUGCUUGCUUGCUCGGGUUGCUCUAUUCACACACACUCAUCCUCUCCAGAUCUAAACAAGAUAGCGGUGGUAAACUGAUCGAUUGAAAGUAUAGCAGGGUUUUUACGCCCCUAACUACGGAUGUCGUGUUCUCCACAUGGACUAGGCGACAGCAACGGAUGUCGUGUUCUCCACAGGGACUAGGCGACAGCAACAAUGCUCAGCUAAAGCUAGGUGACAGAAUUUUAAGAGAGGAUUCCAAGAAAACAAUAACCUAAACUAGCUAAGGUUGACGACAAAGAAAGGGUAAACAGCAAGGGGAAAUUCAGAUUUUACUCAUUGUCUUUUUGGUAUUUUUAUUAGGCUUGAGGGAUUAAAACACUAACGCAAACGAGAAUCAAUAUUAGGGAAACCUGCUAGACAAGAACACAUAUAACUAUCAUACAUGAACAGAAUAUAUAUGACAUAUAUAGCUAGUACUCUUACAUUUUAAAUGAGAAUCACAAUGUAACAGUACAACUCUCACAACACAAACACUCACACAUAUAUAACUAGCAAUGACAGAAGGAAAGAAACAAGCUAAUAUGAUAGGGACAAAAAUAUAUCACAACACAAACAUAUAUGUUUUCACAGGAACAAAGUUAACAAAAACACUACAGAACACACAUCCCACAUAUGCAAACAGGGGGAGGUUACAAGACAUAAUUCUAGUACUCUGAGAUGAACAACACAAGUACUAUUAAUCAAGGACAAGUCUGAAACUGAACAAGUGUCAAGCACUACUCAAAUCUGAACAUUACAAAGCAUUACACAUCUCAGCUUACAGAAAAUUCAGAGAAAGAUAAUGAGGGAAACAGCAGUAGUAGGGGUUCAGAGAAGCAGCAAGGGGGCGAGUGAGGAGCAGCAAGGGGGCGCUGGAGAGGAGCAGCAGCAGGUUGGAGAUUAGAGUUGUAACAGCAGCAGGGGCGUCAGGGAGAGAGAAAUAGCAGGUUGAAGCAACAGCAGCAAGGGGAUGCAAGGAGAAGGAGCAAAAGGGAAUAGGAGCAGUAGCAAGGAGAUUUAGAGACGAGGGAAGGAGGAGCAGCACCAGGGGAAGAAGAACAGCAGCAGAGAUGAAGAGGAAAGAGCAGCAGCGUGGUGAGGAGAAGAAGAUCAGCAGCACGGGGGCGCUCACGCGGAGGACCAGACGCCCGUGACCCUCUUGUCUGGUCGGGCGCGUGAGGUGCGGCGGUGGCUGGAGAUGGUGGCGAUGGUGGAUGGAUUUGGUGGCGUGUUGUGGGUGGUGGAGAUAAAGGGGGUAAAUUUAGUAUGUACAUCAGACUUGGUACAAACAGGAAGGAAAGGGGGUGAAAGUAGUAUAGACUGGUCAUCCAACCGUCUCUUGGUCCAAAAGGGAAGUAUAGGGAAAAUGCUUUACAUAGUGGUAUGACCAGGACUAGAUUUGCUAUCCACACAUAGGAGUGGGUGCCUAGAGUGAACAAAAAUGGGACCAACCCAGAUAUGUUUCUUGGAUGUUUGUUUCUCGAGGCAACAAACUUUGAAUCACCACUUUAUGCCCCGGUUUAGGUACAUGGUGCUUGACUGCUGGUGCACCCACUGUCCCAUGCCCUUAUAGCAAAUAUUUAGCUGUUAUUAAUCUAAUGCCUCGGGUAAAAUGAAGCCAUGCUACUGUUAUAAGCAAUGACAAGUUUAGCCAAUUGUCUUUGCCAAUAAUUGUUUAAGACUCUGACUGUUUCCUCUCUUGCUUCUUGUGCAAACAGGGAUAUCCAUUUCUCCUCAUUGCUAUUGCGACCUUUUGGUGCACUGCACAAAACACUUCUUAAAAGAAGUGACUUUUGUGCUAUUUAACUCGAAUGUCAGAAUGGAAACGUUGUUUCAUUUCGGUGGAACUGCACAAAGGGAGAUCUGUGUUCCAAUCUUCAUCAUCCAAAUUGGCACCAUAAUCUUCCUUUAGGUAAGAAUGAUAUUUAAUGCAUGUGUUCAUCUCUAUUUUGGACUGCCAUCAGAAAAUAAUGCUAUUGUUUACUAGUACACUUGUAUUCCCUCACUGACAAAACCAAUUCUGAAAUAGAAGGCCAAUCAUGUACUUGGUUUCAGCAACUGGUGAGGAGAAAGAGAAACAGAGCAUGAUAGGAAGAAGAAGAAGAAGAAGAAGAAUAAGAAGAAGAAGAAGAAGAAGGAGAAGGAGGAGGAGGAGGAGGAAAUGAAGAACAUCACAUAAUGGUAUCGUCCUAUGUUAUCCUGACAUCUUGCUAUUGGUAUUGUAUUGAUGUGUUGCUACUAGUCUUAAUUUACUUGGAAGACUAGCAAGAUGCUCAUUCGUUGCACAUAACAUCAAGAUGCAUUUGUAUGAGUAGUUUAUCUUGUGAGAGAAAAGGAUGAAUGAGGGAAGGCCUUAUUUGCAAAUGUGGAGAGAGGUGUGGGUAUCUUUUUGCAAAAUUGCCAUAGUUUCCUUCCUAUCCGUCAGAUAUAAAUCGAACGGCCUAUAUUGCAGGAUGGCAGGCACACCAUCAUCACCAACUCUAUUUUUUGUAAGAGUAUAAGAGUAAUAGAUAAUAGAGUAGAGAUAGAUAGAGAAAUGCAGCAGAGUAGUACUUGGCUUGACGACACAUCAUACUAAUUAACCAGAUUCUGGAUGCAUGUGUGACCCAGCUCUACAUGAUCAACAGUGCCAAGGUGAUCUUGCUGAAGUUGAGGCCUCAGUCGAGGCCAUUCAAGGGCUCUAGCAACAUCUCCCUUACAUGUGAGACAAUCCUCCAGGGAGCCCUUCCACUUCCGAUGUCUCUCCUGCAAGGUCACUUAAUUAAUUAGGAGUACUUAAGUAGCACUAAUUCAUUGCUGCCUAAUUUUCCUGCCAGAGUUAAACAAUCUUUAGUAGAACCCUAUGCUGAAUCAUGUACGUGUGUAUCUGUGUCUGUGGAGGUGAAUCAUGUGGUGGAGCAGGGAGGGAAUCUUGGUAGUGUCAUGACAUAAUAAUGUUAUUGUUUUGUAUGUCAAUUUAUUGCCAUUGGUUCAAUGAGGUAAUGUUUUGUGUAUUGUCCAUCAUGAAUUUGAUGCUAAUGUUAAAGUAAUAUGCUAAUGUCUUUCUAUCCUUUCUCACUAAGCUAAUGAAGGUUUCACCUUGUUCCUACUUAUGCAAACAGGGAUCAUGUUGUGCCAAUCGUACAUUUUAGUAGAACUGCACAAGAGAAUACAAUGGACUGUAUCCCAACCAGUGCUUUAAAUAUGCUGGAAGUUCUUCAUAAUCUUUCGAUAUAAUCUCACCACUGGUAAACAAGAGUUAUUUCAACCAUACAUUUGAAGUGCACAAAAAUAUAUACUAUUGAGUGAUUUAAGUGAGUGCUUUAUCAUCUCUUCUGGGACUACUUGAAUAAGCUUUUUUGCUCAGGUUGGUACCGGCCUAAGGCCUUCAGCCAUAUUAGUUUGCUAUCAUCUCUAUUUGUAUCGUGCUACUAUGUUGCUACAUUCAUGAAAAACUCCUUUAUCUUUGCAUGUUAAAGUUUUGCAACCUAUGAUACACGGCAACACUCAGUUCACAUAUUCACAUCAAUCGCCCUAUGUCGAAGGUAAAAUUCAGUGGGACGGUAUUUAAGAAAUGACUCAAGCAACCCAAAUAAUAGUUGAUUACAGCAUGUAUAAUGUAUGAUGGUAUUCAGAUUGGGGUCAUGAAACAGCUCACCGGGUUUAUAUGAUGUAGGUCUCGCUCGAUCACUCUCACAUCCACGUGCAUUGCGACUCCUCUCCUUUUGCUUCCCUGUCCUCAUGCCUGCUCCAACUUCUCUCUUCAUGUGUGCUCCUUGCUUCUCCUCAUCCCCAUGCCAUGGGUCCACCAGGGUCCCAGGGAAUGUCAUCUCGAACUUGGUCAGCAUGUAUUGAUUCGUGCACAAGCAAAAACCUGAAAUAGGACUCACACAAACAACAACUACAAGUGAUAGGGUAGAUGCCCUCUAAAUCAUCAAUAGAGUACCCAAUUACAUAAGCAUAGCUAUAAAGCACAUGUUUAGAAUGGUAGAAAUGAGCAAAGUCAACACUAACAUGAGGAUGAUAUUUUUCAUUAAGCUCAAGACUAGCAUAAGAAUGAUAUGUUUCAUUAAGCAUAGGUCUAGCACAAGGGAAGUAAUUGUGAUCAUCAUUAAUGUGAGUAAUGCCACUAACAGGGUAUAUAUGAUCAUAUCCAAGCAAAUACUUUUUCAAAUCUACUUUAACAGAUGGCAUCAUGUAAUGCAAGGUGGUAGCAAAGAAAUCACAAGGCAUCAUGUCAUCAAGAGGAUUGAGUAAACCUGACACAUCACGCUCUGGUAUGACAAUAGGCAAAUGAAUCUCAUGUUCUUCAUCUUCAUCUACAGCAGCUUCUUGUACUUCUUCAGGAGUAGUAGAUGAUGAGUCUUCAACUUGAUCACUUUGUUGUUCGAGCUCUGGAUCAUCCCUUGGCUUCGAGAAUUUCUUCUUGGAUCUGAAGUAUCUCUUCCUCUAGACUCUCGCUAUCUUGCUCUGCUGAAUGUGAAGGUGUUGGAACCUCCAUGUAUCAAUGGAUAUCUCAGCAACACUCAGCUCUAGCUGUGAAGAAAUAGUGCUGCCAGCGUUGAUGUUCUUCUCAAUCUUCCUUACUUCUUCCACUAGCUCCUUUCCACUCUUAAUCUUCUUCAUUUCCUCUAGUAUCACCGGCCUAAUUGGAUCAUCUUCGGCACUCCAAGUGAACUCGAGACCAAGCAAUGUGAGCUUGUCUAUAUCAUCAAAGUCAUCUUGUGUGGGCACUUGUGUUGAAGAUGUUGGUUGACCAAAUGGAGGACCAUUUAACUCCAUUGGCAACAUGUCCUGGUGUUGAGGUAUAUGAGUAGGAGCUGAAUAAAUCUGCUGUAGAGCAUAGUUGUGGCUCUCCUCUUCAUACCUAAAUCCCUGCAUUGGAUAACUAGAGGCAAACGAUGAGAUCUCAGGGUUAUUGCUCCUAUAUGACAUAUUCUGGUUUUCAGGCCACCCAUGUGUGUAAUUGUUUUGGUAUGAGAUAGGCUAUGGGGCGAAGCUCAUGCCAUAACAAUCGGGAGGGUGAGAGUAACCACGCUGACAUUCAGCGGGUGAAUGGCCCUGAAAUCCACAAAUAUGGCAUGUAGGAGCAACAUAAGGAUGACCUCUAGAAUAAGGAUCAUAAGAGCUAGGCCUAUCCUCAAAAACUACCUCUCGCUGCCGAGCUAAAUCAUCUAAUUGAUGGGAAAUCUUACUUAUCAGUUCUUGAAUACUUUCCGUGCUGUUUGUAGUGUUGCUCGCAUAAGCCGGAUGAUCUGAAUAGAAUGCCAUUACCGAGAGGAUAAUCCAACCUGCAAAAAGGAAAAGAAGAGAAAAAGAUACUAACUAGAAUAGGGGUUAGUGGCUAGAGAUAUAUCACAAAUAUAUGGCACAAGAUGAAAACAAGAAAAACCUAGUCUAUAGCCUAGCACAAUCGCUCGACGCUAAUCCCCGGCAACGGCGCCAAAAUGAUCGAUUGAAAGUAUAGCAGGGUUUUUACGCCCCUAACUACAGAUGUCGUGUUCUCCACAGGGACUAGGCGACAGCAACAAUGCUCAUCUAAAGCUAGGUGACAGAAUUUUAAGAGAGGAUUCCAAGAAAACAAUAACCUAAACUAGCUAAGGUUGACGACAAAGAAAGGGUAAACAGCAAGGGGAAAUUCAGAUUUUACUCAUUGUCUUUUUGGUAUUUUUAUUAGGCUUGAGGGAUUAAAACACUAACGCAAACGAGAAUCAAUAUUAGGGAAACCUGCUAGACAAGAACACAUAUAACUAUCAUACAUGAACAGAAUAUAUAUGACAUAUAUAGCUAGUACUCUUACAUUUUAAAUGAGAAUCACAAUGUAACAGUACAACUCUCACAACACAAACACUCACACAUAUAUAACUAGCAAUGACAGAAGGAAAGAAACAAGCUAAUAUGAUAGGGACAAAAAUAUAUCACAACACAAACAUAUAUGUUUUCACAGGAACAAAGUUAACAAAAACACUACAGAACACACAUCCCACAUAUGCAAACAGGGGGAGGUUACAAGACAUAAUUCUAGUACUCUGAGAUGAACAACACAAGUACUAUUAAUCAAGGACAAGUCUGAAACUGAACAAGUGUCAAGCACUACUCAAAUCUGAACAUUACAAAGCAUUACACAUCUCAGCUUACAGAAAAUUCAGAGAAAGAUAAUGAGGGAAACAGCAGUAGUAGGGGUUCAAAGAAGCAGCAAGGGGGCGAGUGAGGAGCAGCAAGGGGGCACUGGAGAGGAGCAGCAGCAGGUUGGAGAUUAGAGUUGUAAUAGCAGCAGGGGCGUCAGGGAGAGAGAAACAAUAGGUUGAAGCAGCAAGGGGAUGCAAGGAGAAGGAGCAAAAGGGAAUAGGAGCAGCAGCAAGGAGAUUCAGAGACGAGGGAAGGAGGAGCGGCACCAGGGGAAGAAGAACAACAGCAGAGAUGAAGAGGAAAGAGC
rnacentral:lncRNA from 1 species